UGUGGAUCUUACUCGUUUGCGGGCUUGUACACAAAACAUGCAUAUUUGUUUGAUCUGAAAUUGGAAGAAAAGAUUAAAUGCUGUGGGAUUAAAUUUGAGUCUGAAAUGGACAAAACACUUUUAAAAAAUGAAUGGAUCCAUGUGGAGCUUAGGUAUAGAAUUAUUUACGAUAAGAUUAAAAUAUUAAGGAGUGCACAAAUGGGAAUCCAUGUGUUGAAGGAGAAAAGCAACACAGAUGAGGAUGUCAUAUUCACCAAUCCUUAUCGUCACUUCGACAACAAAUGGAUUGAUGGAAAUGGGGCUUUCAGAGAUUAUAGCAAUACUUCAUUAUCACAGUUUGAGCCUCCUCUGAAAAAGCAAAGAUUGGUGGAAAUGGGAGUUUCAGAGACAGAAAGUUUGCAGCAGCAGCAACAUCUAGCUUUACUGUCACAGCAACAACAAAUGGCUUUAUUACCACAGCAACAACGUAUAACUGUUUUGUCAGGCAUGUGGAAUUUGGUGCUGAAUGAAACAAAAGAAAAGGAACAACAUGACUGGAUUCCUUAGUCAAGGUACAUCAUUAUCGUUAUUAUCGUUAAGAUUAUGUGGAGGAUGCUUUGUAGAACAAACACUUCUCAUUGAAGGCAUGACUGGUAUGCAACAUGUGUCCGUGUACAACACCAACACGAUACCGCGACACAUGCGAUUACAUCUAAAUAUGUUAUUUUUUUAAAUUACUAUCGGAGUCGAUGAAUCAGUCACUAUCAAGUCCAGUGUCCAUGUCCGUGUCAGUGCUUAAUAAGGGGGAUAAUUUUUCCCUCUUGAUUUAUAGAAAUUAUAAAUAAAAACAUUUUACACAAAAAGCUUACCAAUUAUUAUUUUUUUAAUUUUCCUCCCUUUCCUGAUGGUUGAAAAUGUCGAAAUGAAGGCUUUGAAAGAGUUUGCAACUUCACAAAGUUCAACAAGUAGACUACCUUAAUUUAAAUUUUAGCAUAUAAAGUUUACAUUUGAUGUUGAAUUCUUCAUAAGUUAUUGUAUCUUGAUGUGGGAUUUUAAAUGGACCUUUUGAGUGAAAUUUAACGUCAUUGCCAUUGAAACAUGAUACAUAGUUGAUAUUCCACUAACUUAUAAGCACGCAGAAGGUUUACAGUGAUCUAAAUACUUUGCUUAUAUCGAUAUAAUUUCUUAGCUUAUAUAUAUCGGUCGUCUCUGUUGCAGCAUAAUUGUAUAUUAUGUUACUUAUCACAUCUACUUGAAUGCUUGUGCCCUGCAGAAAGGAGAAGCCAUAUCUAUCAACUUGUUGUUUAACUAUUACAUAAGGGUGCUUCAGAGACAUCAGAAGCAAUCGGGUCUAAUGAAAGGUUGGCCACUUUCACACAACAUCUAAUAAAUAGUGCCGAAUCCAAGAUGAAUGGUGUUACAAGUAAGAUCCUUAUACUUCGAAAGCAUAAAUGCUUUUAAUCAUAAUCUUUAUGAAAGAUCAUUUGAAAAAGACCGUUAAUGUAAAUGAGUAGCUUUUGUCCGACAGGUAGGGAGAUACAAACUUCAUCUUAUAGUAUAAAAUGAGGAAGUGAUGUUUUUAACAUCUUCCUUCAAUCUCCCUAUCCCCUUUUUUAAAUAACAUUCUCUCUCGCAGAGUUGAACAUGAAGAAUCCAUUCCCGAUGAUUUCAGCCUGUCGUCGGUAAUUUACGCAACUUUUCUCUAACCAAAACUAAGUAUUUUUUUGUUCUUUGACUGUACAUUGUCAGGAAACCACAUUUAGUCAUCUGGCUCUCUGCAUUGUCAUGCAAGAUGUCUAGAGGUUGCUUGCACAACAAAAUCCGUUGGCUGUUCGAAUGGGAAGUGAGUAAUGAUAUGCAUUACAUCUCAGUUGGAGUGCUUUGAGAAUUUCAAUCUUAUGUUAUGGUACUCAUGCGUUUAGCUAUAUAUAGCUUUGUAACCAUUGAUCAACUAAGCAAUAAUAAUACAUUUUUCUAGUUUGAUAAUAUGGUAUCAGAUUUUCCCUCAAGGGAAAGUUUGUUACGGUCCUUGUAACCGUUUUCCGUUGUGCCUUGUAAAUGAAGCUUUGUUGAAUCUUCAUCUUCAUCCUUCUUUUUCCGCCAUUUUUUGUUGCUCUAUUCUACAACAACUCUCGUUGAUUUUGCGAAGAAGUUUCUGAUUCUUCUUCAUUGUUGAGUUUUGUUUUCACUUAACUUGUUUUUCUCAGUUCUUUGAUUUUGCUCCUCUUCUCUGAUUUGUCUUUCGCCAUUGUUGCUACUUCAUCUUCUUCAUUUUCUUUCUCAUGGCGCGUAACAACAAUCUGACUCUGAAUCUGCGUAUUUUGUUCAUCCAAGUGAAGGUCCAAAUUCUGUUGUAGUUUCCCCCAAUUUCAAUGGUUCUAACUACCUCGCAUGGAGUCGUUCUAUGCAACGUGCUUUAGGUGCCAAGAAUAAGCUUCCUUUCAUCAAUGGAACUCUUCCCGUGCCUGAUAUUGAUGAUCUGAACCGUAACGCUUGGGAACAAUGCAAUCACCUCGUUCAUUCUUGGUUAAUUAACUUGGUUUCAGAUUCAAUUGCACAAACAAUUGUCUUUCUAGAGUUAAGUAGUUAAUAGCCUAAACACAGUAUUAAUGGUUAAUUAAUAUCAAUCUUCUCUACAGCAGCAACCAUCUACCAGGGCCUCCAGCUGCAUACCUUCCUAAAUGAAUGUUACAAGUAAGAUUCUUAUCCUUUGAAACCAUAAACGCUUUUAAUCAUAAUCUUUAUGAAAGAUCUUCUGAAAAAGAAAUUGAUGGCUAUACAAUAGUAAUAUAUUUAUAAAAGUGCAUGACUUGUCAUUUCUUAGAAAGUAUGAAGACAGUUAUAAAAAUCUGUAUCUUUUGUCCAACAGGUCAAAUUAGAUACAAAUUUCAUCUUAUAUCACACUGAAAUAGAUAAUUCAAAGAAUUAAAAAUUGCAAAAAAAAUAUAUGUUUUGGAAACAUUUAUAUGUAUGAACUUGAUGGUAUAAAGAAGGCCUUUUUCCUAUCAAAUUUUCUUUUGAUUUGUGAAUGGAAGUAGAAAAUUUCCUUUUAUCUGCUACUCCAUAUAUUUUUUCUUCCAAACUGAUACUCCAUUUCUAUUUAAAGUAUCUCAUGAAAUAAUAUUUCCUUUAUUGUUAUGAGUUGUAAAUCAUUUAAAAUGAAUUUCAUUUUUGUUUUUCUCAUUUUGACCGUAACAUUGUAGAAUUUUUUGUUUUCUACAUAAUGGUUUAUAUGACAAUUUCAAGAGUGGAUCCUCUCAUGUUGGAAUAAACAUAAGGAAGUUAUGUUUCAAAUUUAGGCUUUGUUUGCGAGUUUAAAGGGAAGGAAAGGAAAGGCUAAGGAGGGGAAGGGAAGGAAAGGGAGGGAAGGGAGAAAGAAGGGAAAACCUUCCCCUUGUUUGGGAGUUAAAAAGCCAAUAAGGAAAGGAGAUGGAGGGUUUAUUUUAUAAUUUUACUAUUUUACCCUUUUUCCUCUUAAAAUCAAUACAUUGUUAUACUUUGUAAUUUAACUUCUAAUUUAUUCAAAACAACUUAACUCAUGAAAAACAAAUUAUUACGAUCUAUUUUUAAAAAAUAACUUAUUGAAAACAACUUAUUUAUAAAAAAAAAAGCUUAUUACAAUCACUUUUUAAAAACAACUUAUUUAUACAAAACAACUUAUUACGGCAUCUUUUUAAAAAACAGCUUAUCUUAUAAAAACAAAUUAUUACGAUCUUCUUUUAAUAAACAACUUAUUUAUACAAAACAGCUUAUUAUGACCUCUUUUAAAAAAAACAACUUAUUCAAAACAGCUUAGUACGAUCUCUUUUUCAAAAAGAACUUAUCCAAAACAACUUAUGUAUACAAAACAGCUUAUUACGAUCUCUUUUCAAAAAACAAUUUGUUCAAAACAACUUAUUUAUAAAAAACAACUUAUUACAAUCUCUUUUUCAAAAACAACUUAUUCAAAACAGCUUAUUUAUGCAAAAACAGCUUAUUACGACCUCAUUUUCAAAAACUGCUUAUUCAAAACAACUUAUUUGUGUAAAACAGCUUCAUACGACCUCUAUUUCAAAAACAGCUUAUUCAAAACAGCUUAUUUAUACAAAAUAGCUUAUUACGACCUCAUUUUCAAAAACAACUUAUUUAUAGAAAACAGCUUAUUACGACCUCAUUUUCAAAAACUGCUUAUUCAAAACAACUUAUUUAUACAAAACAGCUUAUUACGAUCUCAUUUUCAAAAAAACCUUAUUCAAAACAACUUAUUUAUGCAAAACAGCUUAAUACGAUCUCUUUUUCAAAAACAACUUAUUCAAAACAGCUUAUUUAUACAAAACAACUUAUUACGACCUCAUUUUCAAAAACCGCUUAUUCAAAACAACUUAUUUAUACAACAAACAGCUUAUUACAUCCUCAUUUUCAAAAACCGCUUAUUCUAAACAACUUAUUUAUACAAAACAGCUUAUUCUAAAUAAGUUGUUUUGAAUAAGAGGUUUUUGAAAAUGAGGUUGUAAUAAGUUGUUUUGUAUAAAUAAGUUGUGUUGAAUAAGUUGUUUUUGAAAAUGAGGUCGUAAUAAGCUGUUUUGCAUAAAUAAGUAGUUUUGAAUAAGCGGUUUUUGAAAAUGAGGUCGUAAUAAGCUGUUUUGUAUAAAUUGAAUAAGCGGUUUUUGAAAAUGAGGUCGUAAUAAGCUAUUUUUUUUUAUAAAUAAGCUGUUUUUGAAAAAGAGAUCAUAUUAAGCUGUUUUACAUAAAUAAGUUGUUUUGAAUAAGCGAUUUUUAAAAAUGAGGUCGUAAUAAGUUGUUUUGUAUAUAUAAGUUGUUUUGAAUAAGCAGUUUUUGAAAAUGAGGUCGUAAUAAACUGUUUUGUAUAAAUAAGUUGUUUUGACUAAGUUAUUUUAAAAAAGAUUGUAAUAAUUUUAGUAAUGUAUAAAAUUGGAAUGUUGAAUUAUUAAGAGGGCAAAAUUGUCAAUUUGUAUGUUUAACCCCCCAAAAUCCUCCAAUUUGGGGGAACUUUAAAAUUGGAUAAAUGAAGCCGUUCAAAACCCCCCAAAACCUUUCCUUUGUUUUUUUAAAACUCGCAAACAAGGGUUUACCACUCCAUAAGCCUUUCCUUCCCUCCCCCUCCCCUCCAAAACCCAACUCGCAAACAAAGCCUUAGGCAACUUUUCUCUAACCAAAACAAAGCAUUUACUUGCUCUUGGAAUGUACAUUUUCAGGAAGCCAUCUGUAGUCAUCUGGCCACUUGCAUUGUCCUCAACAUGUCUAGAGGUUGCUCGCAGCACAGAAUCCGUUUACUUGUUCCAAAGGGCAGUGAGUAAUGCUAUGCUUCGCAGCUCAGUUAUACUGGUUGCAGAGUUUUGAGAAUUUCAAUAUUAGUACACAAAUUGGAAUCCGUAUAGAAAGAGUAAUCAGAUGAAGAUCCGAACUCGGAAGUUUCCGAGACAGAACUUGUGUAGCUGCAACAACAUUGUAUGGCUCUUGUGAUUAAUAAGGUAUUCUUGUGUAAAAACACUUUUCUCCCAAAUCUGUUUUCUGAGACAGAACUUGUGUCGCAUAAACAGCAAAUGUAUGUAUGAUUCUGACAGAUGGUUAAUGUCAAAUCUCUAUUCAAUGAUGUUAACUUCCAUUUCUCAAAUAAAGUGUUUGAUUAUUAAUUAUAACUAGACAUUGAAUAUUCUCUUAAAAAAAAAAAAAGUAUUGUAAACAUUAUAUUAUAAUAUCUUUUUAAAUAUAGUUAUAGGACAUCAUCUCAUAAUAUAUGGUACGUAACACAGUAGUUGGACAUAAACACCAUCAAUCCUACAAAACAUUUGUACCAUCAAGAAUGGUUACAAAGACUAAGCCAAAAGCCAUUAAAACGAGAAAAAACUAGGAAUUAAGACCACAUCCAAAGAGAAAAACCACUAACUGCAGCUGCUAAAAACUAAUUAGUGCGUGGUUAACAGAGCAAUCACUAGAGUUCACCCCCCACUGAACCAAAAACCAAAGUCAGGGAAUUCUAAACAAACACAGAAUGUGAAACCAGCAACUUAUUCAUAAGUAAAAAAAAACAAUAACAGCCAGCUUUACACAUGCUAAUCUUAUUGGAAGUGAGUAGGAAAUGGUAAAAGCACAUUACUUUGUAAUGAACUAUGGGAAGGUAACCAACGAAUCAGUUUCUAUUUCCUGAACUGUACAUAUUGGCUGCUGACAGAUGCAAUACAAUGUCGCAGAAGCACAAGUUUGGUUUUGGUUCUGGCGGUGAAAUCUGAAUUGGAAUGAGAUCAUAAUGGUGGAAAAUUUACUCCUGAAGCAACCUGUAUCAAAGGUUGUUAAAUGGUUUCCGGAGAGGGAAACAGAUUCUCGGUGAAAGGAUGUUAUCAAGAGUAGUGAAAUUUUGUUUUUCACGAUGAUUUCGAUGAUGAAUUAUUGGAAGAUUUCCUAUGGACAUUCCUUGACCCAAUCCCUUAAACAUUUCAUCCCGGUCAAAUCUUCGUAGUUCCGUUCACUGAUGCAGUGGUGGAAACAUCACAACACCCGACCUUCAGCUUCAGUAUCCCUGGUAUCUGCAUCCUAAUCUUUGAUCAGUGCAGAUAUCUUUCUCUGGUGGCGAUUCCCUGCUACCAAUAGAUCACAUCAGUAUGAUAUUGAUUUUCAGGUUUCCUUGUUUUUUAAACCUAUACUACAGAAUAGUUUUUUCUGUCUGUUUACUUUAUUCACAAAUGUUAGUGUCCAUGCCUAACUAUUUGUUCUAUGAUAAAGAAAGUAGUGACCGUUAUUUGAAAUAAUCUUCUUAAUAUAUUUAGCUUCUCAUUGAAUCAUUUAUUGUUUUAACAGAAGCAAAAGAACAAAAGGUUAUUUUGAACAAUAUGCAGGCACAGUCACUCUUGAUACAUUUAAGUUUGGAUAUGUAUAUAAGUAAAUUUUAAUCAAAUAUUAACAGUGAGAUGUUAUAUAUUCUGGACACUUGAUGAUUUGAUCUAUAUGAAAAACAAUUCCUUGCAAUAAUUUUUUUGUUCAUAUGCCAAACAAAACUGAAGAGAAAGGCUAUAUUAUUGAAAAUUUAGGUAUGCAGGAACAUGUGACAUCCAGAAUCCAUCAGCAUGAUAAAAAUAUUUCAAAUAGUCAUUUUCAACUGUAUUGUUGGAAGUGGUAAGAUAUUGUGAAUAUGUGAUAAGAAACUCAAAGACACAAAUAAUAUUAUGCUUGCUAGGAUUGGUGAGAGAGAGAGAGUUAGAAAGACUGCUAGGAUAAAUAUUCAAGUCCAGUGGUUGGUUCUGUGCUAGUAUAAUCAUCAAGUGCUCUGGAGAAAAUUAGAGAGAGUUACCUCUUUUCUUUGGGAUGGUGAACUUAUUUUUUAUUUUAAAUUGUGUUUUUUAGGUCAAGUAAAUGAAUUUUUAUCUCAAAUUAAAAUAUUCCUCUGAUCCUCUUAAAUUGAAAAAUUAAGUUCAUGUCAUAAACAGUUUUCCAUGGCUAUAGCUUGUAGAACAAACGAAGGCGCCACCGUCCUCCGAAGAUCCAAAAUCUUCACUCUUCCCUAUCAUCACAAACUCUUCUCUUACGUUCCUCUAUGGUUCAGCAACACGACAGCGAUGAAAAUCUCUUACCUCCGAUGAAAAGGAGAGAGAGGAGAGGAAGACAAGCAACAAGAAGAAGCGGAAGCUUGAUCGGUGUUAUGAGAGAAUUGGGUUCAAGGAAGUCGCGUGUUAGAGCUUUGGCUAGUUAUGAAGGUAUAUUGGAUGGAGCAAUUAAAAUUUGAAUUUAAGUUAAUGGUUUUGGUUAUGAUUUUAAUUAUUGCUGUUUCUGUAGUCUAUUUGGUGCUGUUAGGCCUAAUCAUGCUUUUAAUGGAAUUUUGAAUCUUAAUUAACUAUUUAUGGUUUGUUUCGAUUGACUUAAUUGAGCUUAUAAACUGAUAGAAGCACUUGUGAGACUGUUGUUUUAAAUCGACUUAUAGCUUAUUUGAAUGCAACUUAACUUAUAUGAAAAUGAUUUGACAUUAUUUUAUGUAGUGUACCAGGUCAAAAAGGUUAUGGUUGGAUGGAUUUCUCAAACUAGUCUGUCCUUACUAGUAAUUAAAGAUAUCUUUGAUCUAGAAGAAUUAAUGUGUGAUAAAGAACUAAAUCUAAGAACCGACAUUUAUGAAAUCCUUCUGCAAGAGUCGUGACCCUUUAAUUUGUUCUCUAGAAUCCGACUUAAAGAACUGCUAUUGGUCAGAUAUAAUGUGAUCUAGUGUUAGAUAUGAUGCAUUCUAAUAUAUUUUUGGAAUUUGCUGUUUUUACAUGCUUAAGUUUAGGACCAUGCUCCCGUAAAAAAAAAAAUUUACUACCAUGCUUAUAGGAUUGUGCUAUUCUUGUUGAGAAACUAGUUUUCAGCUUUAUGUGAUUUUUGAGGUCCUUUCAUAUUGAUGUUUCCCUCAAACUUUUACCUUUAUUUCCUUUCUUCUUCUUUAAGACAUUCACAUUGCUUUAUAGAAAUGACAUGGUAGGAGAAUGUAGGAAAAGUGAUGGUUACUUACUUUUACUGAAGAUAUCAAAUGGGAAGGAAGUUACCCACUUGGUGAUAGCCUCUAACCAAACAAAAUUAGAGGGCCACACAAUAUAUGUCAUUCUUGUCCAAAAUAAUUGUCUAAUUUUAUAUUUCCUUCUACAAUAUCAGGGAAGUCUUAAUGUCUCUUUUACUAUUAAACCUUUACUAUUUAUUAUUCUAUUUUUUAAAAUUCUUUUAACUUCUGUUUCUCAUAUAGUUAAUGAAGAAUGAUUUUGUAAAGUAACUCAAAAUAACUACAUUUAUUAUAGUUUUUGUGAAAUUGUAAAAUGGCUUUUAAUUUGAAGGGGUGUUUCAGUGAUAUCAUUGAGUGAUUGGGGACCACACGGAUAAUUGAAAGGAAAGCAACAUGAAACCGCGACUUCAUUCUGACGUUGACUUCAAGUCAACCUCUCUUUUUCCAACACAACAAACUAAUGGUUCUGCAAUGAGUUUCACAAAAGAAAAAGUUGAACAAUAAUUCAUCAUUUUAGCAAAAGCGACAGUAGAAAAAAAUAGGAUGUGGUACAAUAAAUGUGUGACUGGUCCACACGCAUAUAGUAAAACUGUGAAGGAUGUUUCACUAUUAAUGUUAAAAAUGGACACUCAUAAAUAACUCUUACUGCAAACUCAUUUCCUGCUUUUGGUUUUUACAGAUCCUGAUACUAAAUCAACACUCCUAACUGAAAUACUAUCGCUGCCAUUUACUCUCAUGGCUAUGCAAUUACCAUAUUCUUCCUCCUCUUUCGUCUCUAAUGAUUUCACCUACGACGUGUUCAUUAGUUUCAGGGGCACCGACACUCAAUUCGGUUUCACCGGUAACCUCUAUAAAGCUCUUUCUGACAAAGGAAUCAACACCUUCAUUGAUGACAAGGAGCUUAAAAAAGGGGAUGAAAUCACACCUUCGCUCCUCAAGAGCAUUGAAGAGUCGAGGAUUGCCAUUAUCGUUUUCUCUAAGGAAUAUGCUUCUUCUUUGUUUUGUUUGGAUGAACUUGUCCACAUCAUUCAUUGCUCCAAUGAAAAGGGUAGCAAGGUUAUUCCUGUUUUCUAUGGCACCGAACCUUCUCAUGUGCGAAAACUAAAUGACAGUUAUGGUGAAGCGCUUGCUAAGCAUGAAGAUCAGUUUCAAAAUAGCAAGGAAAACAUGGAGUGGUUGCUGAAAUGGAAGAAAGCUCUUAACCAAGCUGCUAACUUAUCUGGCCACCAUUUCAAUCUUGGGUACCCUUUUUUAUUUAUAUCUUGUUUUACCCCACCACCCUCCCCUAAAUGUUUUCUAUUUUUCUAUCAUAUAGUAAACAAUUAGGUCAUUGUUAGUUAAAACAAUUUUAAUUGCAAUAUUAUAUAUCAAUACAUAUACGUGAUUGUUAUUCUGAUACAUGUAUUUAAAUAUUCAUGAUUGGACAGAAAUGAAUAUGAACGUGAUUUUAUUGAAAAAAUAGUUACAGACGUCUCCUACAAGAUCAACCACGUUCCUCUACAUGUUGCUGAUUACCUUGUUGGACUCAAAUCUCGAAUAUCAGAAGUGAACUCACUUCUAGACUUGGGGUCUACUGAUGGAGUCUGCAUAAUAGGAAUCCUUGGAACCGAAGGAAUGGGCAAGACAAAACUUGCUCAAGCAAUUUAUAAUUUGAUUUCUAAUCAAUUUGAAUGUUUGUGUUUCCUUCACAAUGUGAGAGAAAAUUCAGUUAAACAUGGCUUAGAGUAUCUCCAAGAGCAGAUCCUCUCCAAAUCAAUCGGAUUUGAAACUAAGUUUGGACAUGUUAAUGAAGGAAUUCCAGUCAUAAAACGAAGGCUAUAUUAGAAGAAAGAUUUGUUGAUUCUCGAUGACGUUGACAAAAUAAAGCAAUUGCAGGUUUUGAUCGGACAGGCUGGUUGGCUUGGUCGUGGCAGCAGAGUAAUCAUCACCACUCGAGACAAACAAUUGUUAUCAUCUCAUGGGAUUAAAUUUUUUUACGAAGCAUAUGGUUUAAAUAAGGAACAAGCUCUUGAAUUGUUAAGAACAAAGGCUUUUAAAAGUAAGAAAAAUGAUUCAAGCUAUGAUUACAUUUUAAACCGUGCAGUUAAAUAUGCUUCUGGCCUUCCAUUAGCUUUAGAAGUAGUGGGUUCCAACUUGUUUGGAAAGAGUAUAGCAGAAUGUGAGUCUUUAUUAGAUAAGUAUGACAGAAUUCCACAUGAAGAUAUCCAAAAGAUUCUUAAAGUUAGCUAUGACGCUUUGGAUGAAGAACAACAGAGUGUCUUUUUAGAUAUUGCUUGUUUCUUUAAAGAGCGUAGAAAGGAGUUUGUCCAAGAGGUACUUCAUGAUCAUUAUGGUUAUUGCAUAAAAAGCCACAUUGGAGUGCUAGUUGAUAAAUCUCUUAUAAAGAUUAGUUUUUAUGGUGGGGUGACAUUACAUGACUUGAUAGAGGAUAUGGGUAUAGAAAUCGUCCGACAAGAAUCACGUAAUAAGCCUGGAGAACGCAGUAGGUUGUGGUGUCAUGACGAUAUAGUUCAUGUUUUACAGAAAAACAUAGUGACCAUGACUUUGCUCUUUUUACACUUAAUUACAUGUACAUGUUCUCUAUAUCUUAUUUGUAUUGUCAUUGAUUAAUUUUAUUUUUUUUGUUAAAAGGGAACUAGUAAAAUUCAAAUGAUAUAUCUGAAUUGUCCCUCAGAGGAACCUGUAAUAGAGUGGAAUGGAGAGGCCUUUAAGAAGAUGACAAUCUCAAAACACUUGUCAUAAAAAGUGGUCAAUUUUCCAAAAGUCCUAUGUAUAUUCCAAGUACUUUGAGAGUAUUGAUAUGGGAAAGAUAUUCUUUGAAGUCUCUAUCAUCUAGUAUUUUUAGCGAGGCAAGUGAAUUUUCCAAUUGUGCAUAUUUAUAAAUUCACUAUUAGAUUUUAGUUUUUAGUUACUUAUUUCUUAUUUUUUUAUGCAGAAGUUCAACUAUAUGAAAGUCUUGACAUUGAACCAUUGUCACUAUUUAACUCAUAUACCCGAUGUCUCAGGUCUAUCAAAUUUUGAAAAGUUCUCGUUUAAAAAGUGUAAAAAUUGAAUUACAAUUCACGAUUCGAUUGGGCAGCUAAGUAAACUUAAAAUCUUAAAUGCAAAAAAUUGCAACUCGCUAGAGAGUUUUCCACCCUUACGGUUGCCCUCUCUUAAGCAAGUGAAACUCGCUUAUUGUAGGAGUCUCAAGAGUUUUAUAGUGAUUCUAUAGUGAUUUCAAAUGUGGAUCACGUUCUUCUCAACCAAAGCAACUUAUCAGAUGAAUGUCUCCCAAUACUUCUCAAGUGGUGUGCUAAUGUGAAAUUGUUAUACUUAUCUGGUAACAAUUUCAAAAUUCUUCCUGAGUGCCUUAGUGUAUGUCACCUUCUUAGGAUCCUUAAUUUGGAUGAAUGCAAGGCUCUUGAAGAAAUUAGAGGGAUUCCACCAAAUCUAAAUUACUUGUCUGCAAUGGAAUGCGAUUCAUUGAGUUCCUCAAGUAGAAGAAGGCUAUUGAGUCAGGUUUGUUGUUGUUGUUUUAUCUUGCCAUAGUAUUUGUUAUAUAGUAUUUCAUAUAUAUUUGAUAAUGUGUAAUAUAUCUUAUACUAAACUAACAGAAACUACAUGAAGCUGGAUGCACUGAUAUUCGUUUUCCAACCAGAACAGAGGAGAUUCCAGAUUGGUUCGAGCAUCAAAGCAGGGGACAUGGCACAAUUUCUUUCUGGUUUCGUAAAAAGAUCCCUUCUAUUACUUCUAUUCUUCUUUGUCCUGGAACCGGGCAGAUUUCAGAAGUCGAUUUGUUUGUCAAUGGCGAUGAAUGUUAUGAUUCUAAUUAUUUAUGGUGUGGUUCUAACUUUAUGGCGAGUCCAGACUCAGAACAUGCAUUUUUGUUUGACUUGAAAUUGGAAGAACAGAUUGACUUACAGUAUGAAGUGGACUUAGCAGAAUGGACUCAUGUGGAGCUUAAGUUGACGAUUGAGGAUGAUUAUAGUGACACGGAGGAGAAUGAUAUUAGUGAGGAUGAGAAGAUUAAUAUAUUAAGGAGUGCACCAAUGGGAAUCCACGUUUUAAAGGAGAAAAGCAACACGGAGGAGGAUGUGAUAUUCACCAAUCCUUAUAAUAGAAAGAGAAAAUUAGAUGAAUAUCUGAAUGCUUCAUUAUCACAAUUUGAGUCUCCUUUGAAAAAGCAAAGAUUGGUAGGAGUGGGAGUUUUAGAGAUAGAAAUUUUUCAGCAGCAACAUCUAGAAGCUUUACUGUCAGGCAUGCGGAACAUGGUGCUAACUGAAACAAAAUAAAAGUAACACCAAGGCUAAAUUCCUUGGUCCAGGUACAUUAUUAUCAUAAUUAUAAACUGAUUAAUUGUUUCUAUUUGCAGAAGUUUUUCAAAUGAUUGAGACUUGUUUAGUCGCUGACAUAUGUUUGCAUCCAACACCGAAACAUGUGAUUAAAUUCAAAUAUGUUAUUUUCUCAAUUUCCUAUCCAUGUUGAGGAAACAGUGUCGAGUCCAUUGUCAUCUGUGUCAGUGUGGGAGAUGUUUUUUUCCCUCUUGUCUGAUAGAAAUUUUAGAAAUUAAAAAUGAAAUUUUUUUUACACAUAAAGCUUACUUAUAGUGAGUAUAUACGUUUCAUGAACCUCUAUUAAUCUAAUUAGUUAUGAUUCAUAUUUAACUUUAAUGUGAAGUAUAUAAUGUGAUUGCAAUUGAAACUUGAUACAUUACUGUAAAAUUAACACGAGGUUUACAGUGAGCUAAAUGCACAGAUUAGGCAGGUCAUAGAAGCUUUUUGUCUGUUCAUCAAUGUCAAUCUUUUCUGUUGCAGCUAUAACAUAAGGAUUCUUCAAAUUUAUCAUAAGCAAUCAGUUCUGAUAAAAGUUUAGGAAUCCAUCUCUCGGUCCGACUAUAUUCCUUCAAUCCGGGUGUAGUGGAAGUUGGGGACUUUCACACAACAUCUAUUAGAUUGCGUCGAAUCCUAGAUUUAUGUUGUUACAAGUAAGAUCCUUAUACUUUGAAAACAUAAAUGCUUUUAAUCAUAAUCUUUGUGAGAGGUCUUUUAAAAAAGAAAUUGAUUAUUAUCCCACAAUAUUAUAUUUCUAAAUAUGCAUAACUUGUCAUUUCUUAGGGAAUAUGAAUACAGUUAAUGUAAAUGUGUUGCUUUCGUCCAACAGGUCAAAUUAGAUACACACUUCAUCUUAUAUUAUAGAUCAUAGUAUUACACAAUAAAGUAUCUGCAACUGAGAAGCAUGAGAACACAGUGACUUGCAGUACAAGCAAUUGAAUUAGUAUAGUACAAUAUGAUAUUUUGUAUAGUACACUUGAGAUUAGAUAGUACAAUUCACAAAUGUACAUAUAUUAUGAUGUACUCUCAUUUCAAUCUAAUGAAUAAAUUCUACUUUUCACUAUUUCUUAAUACAUGGAUAGUUCCAAAGAUUAAAAAUUGCAAAAAAAAAAAAAAAAAAAAAAAAUUCUGCUGUGAAAACAAUUAUAUGUAUGAACUUGAUGGUAUGAUCUGGCAAAUGGAAAUGGAGAAUUUCGUUUCAUAACUCAGUUUUGGUUUUGUACUUCCAAGCAUGAAUUUACAAAAUGGUUAACGAUUUCUCUUUAUUGUAUCUCAUGAAUUAACAUUUCCUUCAUUCGUAUGACAUAUAGUCGUUUAAAUUGAUGAAAUGAAUUUCAUUUCAUUUUCUCACUUUGACUGCACGUUUCCUUUUUAAAACUGAAACAUGUUAGAACUUUUGUUAUCAAUACUGGAUCUUCUCAUAUUGAAAUAAAGUUAUAAACAUGACAAAGUGAUGUUGGUAACAUCUUCCUUCAAUCUCCCUAUCCCCAUUUUUUAACAACUUUCUCACUUAUAACAUUGAACAUAGAGAAUCCAUUCCCGUCAAUUUCAGCUUGUUGUCGAUAAUUUACGGAGCUUUUCUCUAUCCAAAACUAAGCAUUUACUAGUUCUUUGACUGUACAUUGUCAGGAAACCAUCUGUAGUGAUCUGGCUAUUCGCAUUGUCAUGCGGGAUGAUGUGAUUGUUCAAGAAUGGAGGAUGUUUGAAAAUUAAUGAUAUGCUUUGAAUCUCGGUUGAAGAGUUUUGAAAAUUUCAAUGUUGAGUAAUAUAUGCAUUGUUCAAGAAGAAAAGAAGAAUGGAGGAUGAUGUGAUUUUCAUCAAUCCUUACAGAGAGAGUAAAUCAGAUAAGGAUAUCAGAGUUUCUGAGACAGAACUUGUGUAGACGCAACAACACUGUAUGGCUCUUGUGUUUACAAGGACCAUAUUUUCAUCACUAAACAUGUUUUUUUUCCGCAUUUGGCAGAAAAGUGAUUUGUCCAGCUAGCCACAUAAUAGAAGACGCUGAAGUAUUCUUGUGUUUCGUUAAAGUCUGGGUUUGUAAUAAAUAGAAAGUCUAUUUUUUUUUAUUCGUAUUUUUCCUUUUUAUUGGAUCAACAAUGCACUACUCAUGUUCAUAUGAUUAAAUUGAUUUUAGGAAUACAAGUGUUUCUACAUACUGUGAUAUUGACAGAUGGUUCAUCACAAUCUCAGUUCAAUGAUGUGAACUUCCAUUUCAAAAAUUUGGAUGCAUAGUUUAAAUUUUUUUAUAAUUUUUUUAGUUCAACUGUUUGAUCGUUAGUUACCGAAAUAUUACAUUAUGGUAUUUCAAUGUAAUGUAGAUUGCAUUUCAAAACAAGUAUAGUCACACUCUAUAGAGGGAGAUUUCCACAUCAAAGGAAAAAAAGUAAAUAAAUAUCCAAAUGUGUGUUUGUAUUGUGAGGAGUACUAGCAAUAACACAGCCUUUAACACGCAUUUGCGUUUAUAAUUCUGGGAGAAGAGUUUUGGAGUGAGGAUAGUAAGAACAUGUGCGAGGAAAACUCUUAUGUCUUGCAAAAGAUAUUUCCUUAUGGAUCGGAUUGUCUAUCACUGCAUAGAGCUGAUCAAGCUGUCACAGGGAUUCCCCUAUAUGUAACUUUAUGUCGUCAUCUGUUGAUGCAAUUCAUAUUUACUUGUGUAUGUUAACGUUUCUCUUUUUUCAAAUUUAUUCGGUGAAUGUUUUUUCGUUUUCAUAUUUACUUGCCAAAUUUCAGAAUUUUGAUCCAUAACGUCCAUUUACGCACUUUUAGUCGGAGGAUUACUGUAAUUACCAUGAUCUGAUUCUUUGGGUUAGGCAGUAAAUUUGCUUUAUUCACAACCUGUUCAUGUUAUUCACAAUUUUUACAGCAUAACAUAUGUUACUUGGGGUUAAGCUCUUUAUUAAUUCUAUAAAUAAAUGGAUGCAUAACAAGGACUCCAAUAGUAUAGAUUUUAAAUUCGUAGGCAAUCUUUUUAUAAAUGGAUACACAUGUAGUUUCGUUAACAAUGUCAAUCAUUUCUAUCUCGUGAUAGUACCAGAUGACACAUAUCUAAGGAUUGUAUAUCAAACUUCUUCUAGCAGAAGCACAAAGACUAAAGAUUUGUUCUUUUAAUGGCAAAAUACUACGUACAGUCGCUAUUGAAACCUUUUAAUCAAGUUGUUAAUUAGUAGUUGGAUGCAAUAGGCAUACACAAAAGGAAACAACAAAUAAAAUGAAUUUCAUGAAACUUAAAUAAUGCAUAUUGUUGGAAGUGAUGAGAUAUUGUGAUUGAAACUAAAAGAGACAAAAAGAAUGACGACAAGUUUAGAGGGAGUAUGAAAACUGUUGUGUUGUUCUGGAAAACAAAUGUUCUUUUUGCUGAAAAGACAGAGUUGUUCUGUUUUUGUUCCUAUUAUGAUUGUUGCUAUUAUUAAUACUAGAUAUUGUGAUCUUUGUUCCUAUGCAUCUACACUCUUUCCAAAGUGGAUAUCCUUCACUACUUUUUUUAAGUAGUAAUAUGAGAUCCUUUUGCAAAGUGGAUAUCCUUUUAUAAGUAGUGAAUGUUGCAAGUAUAGUACUUAAUAUAUUGUUGUUGUUCUCAUCAGAUGAGACUUGAUAUAAGAUCCUAUGGAUGGUGAUUUUGCAAGUCUAAAAUAUUGUUUGAAUUUUCUGUUUUUAUUUGCAUGUAUUUACGAGAAUAGGUAUAGCUUGUAGAAUCGACACAAUAUUUGAAGUGCUUGUAUUUGAAUGUGUGAGAGUUAACUUAAAAUCAGGAAUCUGGAGAAACGUGCCACGAUGGAGAAGGAACGUGCAACGAUUGUUGAAACAAGAUUCUGAAGCAGUCACUGGAAACUUCGUGCAACGAUGGAAUCGUAACGUGGCACGAUGGUACGUUGAAGGAAAUAACAGAAACGUAUUUUCAGGGAAGAUUUAUUCCAUAUUUUAAGGGUUACUUUCCACUAUAAAUAUAAGUCUUGUAUCAGAUGAGAAACAGAAUAGAAAACAAGGUUUAGAAGCCAACAUACAAACUAGGGUUUAUAGAGAAUUUCUCUUGCCCACAACACUAGGGUUGGGAUUGUUUUGAUUCACCUCGAACAAAUCACUAUUAGGAUUGAGUCUCUUGGUCACAGGAAGAUGCUGGGACUUGGGUAGAAUUAGGUUGGAAGACUAAUUCUUGUAACUCAAUAUCUCUUUGUAAAGAAACUCAUAUCAUUAUAGUUGAACGGAGAGCUGCUCUCCCCCAGACCAGGUCAUCUUUACACCGAACUGGGUAAACAAAUUCUUGUGUUCUCCUUCUUCCUUCUAUCUCUUACUGUUUACUUUUGUUUGAAUUAUUUUCUAUCCGCUUGAUUUCAUUACUUGGUAUUAAUUUGCUCCACGCAUCAAGUUUUAUUGGUGUGCUUUUACAACUAAUUCACAUCACUAUUUUCUAAAAUUAUACAUAUUCUAUCACACCCCCGCAGUCGAAGCGGGAGGCUCGCGUAUGCUGAGACUGUCUCUAAAAUCUUGAAAUAGUACUAGGGGAAGACCUUUCGCGAAAAUAUCGACAAUUUGAUAUCGUGAGGGGACAUGUAGAACACAUACUUGUCCACGAGCCACUUUUUCAUGAACGAAGUGAAUAUCCAUCUCGAUGUGUUUAGUGCGUUGAUGUUGAAAAGGGUUCCCAGAUAAAUAUAUCGCACUAACAUUGUCACAGUAGACCAUGGUAGCCUUGUAUAUAGGACAAUGUAACUCCAAAAGUAGGUUGCGUAACCAACAAGACUCAGAUACGACAUUGGCAACACCUCAGUAUUCGGCUUCAGCACUAGAACGAGAUAAUUAGGGCUGGAAAUGAGUCGAGUCGAACCUGUCUGUGCUCGACUCGUUAAGAAUUGGCUCGGUUCGAACCUCGUUUCGAGUUUGACACGAACUUUUUUUUUCACCUCAAGUUCGGCUCGUUUAAAGUUGACGAACAGGUUGGUUCGGCUCAUUAGGUUCAUUUCGUUUGUUCAAAGCACAUUAGUUUAGAGGGUUAAUAGACCUUUACCCCUGUAAUAUAGGUCACUUUUGGUUUUCCCUCUGUAAAUUUUUUUUUGUCAGAUUUCAUCCUUGUAAUUUCUUUUUGUUUUAGAAUACCCCCAUAGGCAUGCUGACUGUGCCUUUUAUAUGAUGUGGCAUGAUGCGUCACCUUUUUCUGAUGACGUGACGCGCUGACUGUAUCAUUAUUUUAAUAAGUACACGUGGCAUUUGUGAUUUUUUUUUUAAAUAAAAAUAAAAAAAUUUCUUAAAAAAUUUUUAAAAACGAAAAAAAUUUACAAAAUAAAUAAAAUUUUUAAAAAAAUGGAAAAAUUAGUAAUGAUUAAAAAAAUAAUGAAAAAAAUUAUAAAAAAAAUCUGGAAAUAUAUAAAAAAAUUGUGGAAAAGAUUAAUAUAUAUAUAUUGAAAUUUUCAAAUUUUUUUUUCCAGAAUAUCAUAUUUAAAAAAAAAAUCGAAAAAAAAUUAUACAGUCAGUGUGCCAUGUCAUCAAAAAAAGGUGACCCAACAAUCCACAUCAGCAAAAAUGCACAGUCAGCAUGCCUAGGGGGUAUUCUAAAACAAAAAAAAUUUACAAAGAUGAAAUCUUACAUAAAAUUUUUACAGGGGAAAACCAAAAGUGACCUAUAUUACAAGGGGAAAAGACCUAUUAACCCUAUUUUAGAUAUGGAAAUGAGUAAAGCCACUUGAACGACAUAACUCAAAAGUCAAAGAAUUUAAAUUUUUGACCCAUAAAUAUAUUAGAAUUUAUACCAAUUUUUAAAGGACUCGAUGAGGCUAUUAUUACACAUAAUAAGUAACACUGGUAUGCAACCACCAAAUCUCAGAUAAUGUGGGUUGGCGGCAUUUGGAAGACCACGAGAGUAGAUUGUCACAAAGAAAUACACAAUAACGAGAAGUAGAUCUCCUGGUAUCUAGACAUCCGCCCAAAUCAGAAUCUGCGUAGGAUAUCAAGGAUGUAGUGGAUGAGGGAUAAAGAUGCAGUCCAUACUGACGAGUUCCUUGAACAUAGCGCAGGAUGCGCCUGAGAGCUUGCAUGUGAUCAUCUAUCGGAUUAUGCAUAAAUAAACAAAUCUAUUGUACUGCAUAGGAAAUGUCAGACCUAGUAAAUGUGAGAUAUUGUAGAGCUCCAGCAAGGCUGCGAUAGAGAGAUGGGUCCUCAUAUGGGGUGGUACUUUUGGUGCUAAGCUUCGGUUUUGUGUCGACUAGGGUAGGACACGGCUUACACGAGGACAUGCCAACACUUUCAAUGAUCUCUUCUGCAUACUUUUUCUGAGAUAAAAAUAGACCAUCAAUGUAUCUUGUGACUGCAAUACCCAAGAAAUAGUUAAGGGACCCCAAAUCGAACCAAACCAAACCGCAUAUUUUUUUACCUUACGGUUCGGAUGACUUUUAACCUCAAAACCAAACUAAACCUCACCGUGAACACCUCUACAUUGAAAUACCAUAAUGUAUUAUUAUUAUAGUUAAUAAUCCAAGAGAAGACCCGUACUUUUGAUGGGGCACAAAUUUCUCACACAUUGGAUAGUAACUAACUCACCCUUUUAACUGAGGUUGGAUCUAGAGGAAGGAGUUUGGUUAUCACAACAAAGUGAAACAAUAUUUGAAUUCUGACUAUAACAGGUGUCCAUAUUUAGUAUCCGGCGCGAUUAAAAUAGAAAUACUUUUGGUGGAAGGGAUCCUAUGAAAAAAAAAAAAAACAGUUUAUGAUUAACUACCAUUUACUUUUGAUCUACUCUUCAAUUUAUUUAUAUUUACUUUUGAUCUGAAUCAUUAAAUUGAACAGGCCUUAAUUCAUCACACCUUCAAAAUUGAUGUUGUCCACAGUAAAAGGAAAUUUCAUGGUAAAUAAAAUAAUCAUUCAACGUUAUCCCCCGGCAUAUCUACUUCCUGUCGCUACACUUUGAGAGUGAUACAAUUAUCAUAUUAAUUAAUGUGUGACUGAUUGGUCCACACGUAUAAAGGAAGAAAUUCUAUCAAAUUUCACAUUUGUCAAAAGUUUGAAUUAUCAUUUUUAUGUUCAGUGCGAGAGUUGUUAAAAUUGGCUUGUUAUUUAGUUAUAUUUUAACAGACUGGACACAAGCCACGCGGAGGAGAAAAUGGUAAGAAAGUUCUAUUUAGUGUUAUAUUACAGAGGCCAACAAUAACAUACACCAACUCAUCCAUAUUCUGUAUUCUUAAACAAUAUCCUCCUAUCUUCCAUUAAUUUCCUUUCAAUUCUCAUGGCUAUGCAAUCUCCUUCCUAUUCCUCUUCCUCUUUAAUUUCCUACGGAUUCACCUACCAGGUCUUCCUCAACUUCAGGGGCAGUGACACUCGUGACGGUUUUACUGGACAUCUCUACAAGGCUCUUACUGACAAGGGAAUUCACACCUUCAUUGAUGAUUGUGAUCUUAAGAGAGGAGAUGAAAUCACACCAUCACUCAUCAAGGCCAUUGAAGAAUCUAGGAUUUUUAUUCCUGUGUUUUCUAUCAACUAUGCCUCUUCUAAAUUUUGUUUGGACGAACUUGUCCACAUCAUUCAUUGCUACAAGACAAAGGGUCGUCUCGUUUUGCCCGUUUUCUAUGGCGUGGAUCCUACUCAGAUACGGCAUCAAAGUGGGAGUUAUGGUGAACAUCUCACUAAGCACGAAGAGAGUUUCCAAAAUAACAAGAAAAACAAGGAACGAUUGCAUCAAUGGAAGUUGGCUCUGACCCAAGCUGCUAACUUGUCCGGAUACCAUUAUAGUCCUGGGUACCCCACUUUACUUAAACCUUGUUUUUCCUUUUUAUAUUUUCUUUAUUUAAUUUUUUUUCCACAAAAUCUCAUCUUAAAGCUUAAAUAGGAAACACAUAUUUUUAUUAAUGUUUUUAAACAAGUAUAAAUUAUUUAUAUGUCAAAAGAGUUAGAACUGUAUAAUAUAUUCUCGGUACAUCAAUGUAUUUGUGAUGUUGGUGCAUGUACUAACUUAUCUUGUGGGACAUGAAUAGAUAUGAAUACAAGUUUAUUGGGAAGAUAGUCGAAGACAUCUCCAACAAGAUCAAUCGUGUCAUUUUACAUGUAGCCAAAUACCCUGUUGGAUUAGAGUCCCGAUUAGAACAAGUGAAAUUGCUUCUUGAUAAAGAAUCUGAUGAAGGGGUCCAUAUGGUAGGACUUUAUGGUACUGGAGGUUUGGGUAAAUCAACACUUGCCAAAGCGAUUUAUAAUUUUGUUGCUGAUCAAUUUGAAGGUGUAUGCUUUCUUCAUAAUGUCAGAGAGAAUUCAGCUCAUAAUAACUUGAAACAUCUCCAGAAGGAGCUCCUUUCAAAAACAGUUAAAGUGAACAUUAAGUUUGGACAUAUUUGUGAGGGAAUUCCAAUCAUUAAGGAAAGGCUAUGUAGAAAGAAGAUUCUUUUGAUUCUCGAUGAUGUUAACCAACUGGAUCAGCUAGAGGCUUUGGCUGGAGGACUUGAUUGGUUCGGUCCUGGAAGCAGAGUCAUCAUCACCACCCGAGAUAAACACUUACUAACCUGUCAUGGGAUAGAAAGAACAUAUGCAGUAAGAGGGCUAUAUGGGACAGAAGCUCUUGAAUUGUUGAGGUGGAUGGCGUUUAAGAAUAACAAAGUACCGCCAAGUUAUGAAGACGUUUUAAACCGUGCAGUUUCAUAUGCUUCAGGCCUUCCCUUAGUUUUAGAAAUAGUGGGUUCCAACUUAUAUGGAAAGAGCAUAGAAGAAUGGAAGGGUACAUUAGAUGGAUAUGAAAAGAUUCCCAAUAAAAAGAUCCACGAGAUACUUAAAGUAAGCUAUGAUGCUUUGGAGGAAGAGCAGCAGAGUGUCUUUCUAGACAUUGCUUGUUGCUUCAAAGGAUGUAGAUGGGAGGAGUUUGAAGAUAUACUUCGUUAUCAUUAUGGCCAUUGCAUAACACAUCAUCUUGGAGUGUUGGCUGAAAAAUCUCUCAUUUACCAAAAUCAUGGUUAUCUGAGAUUACAUGACUUGAUAAAGGACAUGGGUAAGGAAGUAGUCCGACAAGAAUCACGUAAAGAGCCUGGAGAACAAAGUAGGUUAUGGUGUCAAGAUGAAAUAGUUCAUGUUUUAAAAGAAAACACUGUGAGUAAGAUUAAUAUCUAUGAUCAAUUUGUUAUUUAGUUUUAAUACGACUUUGCUCAAUUUGGAUAAAUAUAUAUGACCAUCUCAUACAUGUAAAUAUUUUUUUAUGAUUGAUUAAUUUUUUUUUUUGUUGAAAGGGAACUAGUAAAAUUGAAAUGAUAUAUAUGAAUUUCCACUCCAUGGAAUCCGUAAUAGACCAGAAAGGAAAGGCCUUCAAGAAGAUGACAAAACUCAAAACACUUAUCAUUGAAAAUGGUCAUUUUUCUAAAGGUCUUAAAUAUCUUCCAAGCAGUUUGAGAGUAUUGAAAUGGAAAGGAUGUUUAUCAGAGUCUCUAUCAUCUAGUAUUUUAAGCAAGGCAAGUUAUAUAACUUCAUUUUCUAAUUGUAUAUAUUUAUAAAUUCACAAUGAUUUUGUUUCCGUCAACAAAAACAAAUCACUAUGAGAGUAUAGUGUUUGAUUUUUAAUUUAUUUAUUUGUUUGUUCCUUGUGUUUAUGCAGAAGUUCCAGAAUAUGAAAGUCUUGACAUUGAACUGUUGUGAAUAUUUAACUCAUAUACCUGAUGUCUCAGAUCUUCAAAAUUUAGAAAAGUUCUCAUUUAUGUUUUGUAAGAAUUUAAUUACAAUUGACGACUCAAUUGGGCACCUAAAUAAACUUGAAAGCUUAGAUGCAGGUUGUUGCAGCAAGCUCAAGCGUUUUCCACCCUUAGGGUUGACAUCUCUUAAGCAAUUGGAACUCAGUGGUUGUGAGAGUCUAAAGAAUUUUCCAGAAUUAUUAUGCAAAAUGAGAAAUAUAAAACAUAUUUUUUUGUCUAGAACUUCAAUAGGAGAAUUGCCAUCUUCAUUUCAUAAUCUCAGUGAACUUCGUAGUUUACACAUAUUUGGAAUGUUUAGGUUCCCAAAACCUAAUGAUAAAAUUUAUUCUGUAGUGUUUUCAAAUGUGGAUCAUCUUGUUCUCGAAAAUUGCAACCUCUUUGAUGAAAGUCUCCUAAUAAUUCUCAAAUGGUGUGUUAAUCUGAAAAAUCUAGUCUUAGCAAAGAACAAUUUCAAAAUUCUUCCCGAGUUCCUUAGUGAAUGUCACCAUCUUGUUGAAAUUAUCGUGGACGGCUGUACCUCUCUUGAGGAAAUUAGGGGGAUUCCACCAAAUCUUAAAUGGCUUUCUGCAUUGAGAUGUGAAUCAUUGAGUUCCUCAAGUAGAAGAAUGUUAUUGAGUCAGGUUCGUUGUUGUUUUAUCUUGCAAUAUAUGGUAUUUCAUGUAUAUAAUUGGUAGUGUAAUUAUUAUUAUGUUGUAUAAACUAACAGAAACUACACAAGGCUGGAUGCAUUGAGGAGAUUCUUAUGCCAAACGGAAUAGAGGGGAUUCCAGAUUGGUUCGAACACCAAAUCGUUAGGGGAGACACAAUUUCUUUUUGGUUUCGUAAAAAUAUCCCUUCUAUAACAUGUAUCAUUGUUAUUCCGGAAUCUGUGGAAAUUGAAAAAUUCAAUGUGUUUCUCAAUGACAAGGAAAUUACUACUAUGGAGUGUUUAUUAUAUCCUAAAGAUAUCUCGCCGGGACAUUCAAUUUUGUUUGAUAUGAAAUUGGAUGAGAAUAUUUACGAGAGUUUUGCAAAUAAGUCUGAACUGUACGGAGCAUUUAAAAAUAAUGAAUGGAACCAUGUGGAGCUUAUUUGGAAGUUAUAUUAUUGGAGUGACAUGGAGGAGGAUGAUUGGAGUGACACGGAGGAGGGUGAGAAAGAGAUGAUCAUAUUAAGCAGUGGUGUACAGAUGGGAAUCCACGUGUCGUGGAAUGGGUAUGAUUGGAGUGACACGGAGGUGGAGAAAAGCAACAAGGAGGGGGAAGUGAGAUUCACUAAUCCUUAUAGUAGAAAGAGAAAACUUGAUGAAUAUCUUUUCAUUUACAGCAAUACUUUAUUAUCACAAUUUGUGCCUCCUCUAAAAAAGCAAAGAUUGGUGGAAGUGGGAGUUUCAAAGACAGAAAUUUUGCAGCAGCAUAAUCUAGUAGCUUUAGUGUCAGACAUGCGGGAUUUGGUCCUCACUGAAACAAAACAAAAGGAACAUCAUGGCUAGUUUCCUUGGUCAAGGUACAUCAUGUGAUUACAUUCAAAUAUGUUAUUUUCUUAAAUUACCGCCGGUGUCGAAUCUGGUGUCCAUAUUUGUGUCGGUGCGCUAUAUAGGGAGAGGAUGUUUUGUCACAGUAUUAAUAGCCUAAACACAGUAUUAAUGGUUAAUUAAUAUCAAUCUUCUCUAUAGCAGCAACCAUCUCUCAGGGCAUCCAGCUGCAUCCCUUCAGUCCAGAAACGUGUAGUGAGCUUGGCAAAUUUCAUAAAUUGGGACGCAUCCUAAAUGAAUGUUGUUACAAGUAAGAUCCUUAUACUUUGAAACCAUAAAUGCUUUUAAUCAUAAUCUUUAUGAAAGAUCUUUUGAAGAAGAGAUUGAUUUCUAUUCCAUAGUAUUAUUUUUAUAAAUACGCAUGACUUGUCAUUUCUUAGGGAGGAUGUAAACCGUUAUAAAAAAUUGCGCAUCUUUUGUCAAACAGGUCAAAUUAGAUACAAACUUCAUCUUAUAUCACAGUGAAACAGUCUAUGCUGUCGUGGAAACGUUUAUAUGUAUGAAAUUGAUGGUAUACAGAAGCCUUUUUCCAAUCAAAUUUUGUUUCGAAUUUGCAAAUGGAAGUGGAGAAUUUCCUUUCAUAACUCAGUUUAUCUUCUACUCCUUAUAUUUUUUCUUCCUUAUCUUUGUGAAGUCUUACAAACUGGUACUCCGUUUCUCUUUAAUGUAUCUCGUGAAUUAACAUUUCCUUUAUUCAUAUGACUUAAAAAUAUUUUAAAAUGAAUUUCAUUUCUCAUUUUGACCAAAACGUGUGAGAAAUUUUUGGUUUUUGCAUAGUGGUUUGUUUGACAAUUUCAAAAGUGGAUCCUCUCUUGUUGAAAUAAACAUAAGGUAGUUAUGUUUCAAAUUCAGGCAAGUUUUCUUUAACCAAAACUACGAAUUAACUUGUUCUUUGUCUGUACAUUGUCAGGAAACCAUCUGUAGUCACCUGUCUAUGUGCAUUGUCAUGCGAUAUGUCUAGAGAUUUCUCGCACCACAGAAUCUGUUGGUUGUUCGAAAGGGCAGUGAGUAAUGCUAUGCUUUGAGCUUAGUUAUACUGGUUGCAGAUUUUUGAGAAUUUCAAUUUCAGUACACAAAUUGGAAUCCUUAUAGAAAGAGUAAAUAAGAACUCUGACAACAGCAAAUGUAUGUAUGUAUGAUGUGAACUUCCAUUUCUCAAAUAAAGUGUUUGAUUAUUAAUUACAACUAGACUUUGAAUAUUCUCCUAAAUUUGUUUUUUGUAAAUAUUAUAUUGUAAUAGCUUUUUAAAUAUAAUUAUAAGGCAACAUCUCAUAAUAUAUGGUACGUAACACUCUUUCAAAAAAAAAUAAAAAAUGGUAAGUAACACUUUCACCGAGAAAAAAACUUUCACCGAAUGAACCUCCUAAGAGGCCAAAAUCCACUUUCACCGAAUGAACUAAAAACCAAAGACCAAAGACCAAAAUCCACUACCCAUACUUUCCAUAUUUUAAGUUAUUACAAUAUAUAAUCACAGAAAAUAUUAGAAGCUGUAAAUUAAUAUUCAGAUGAUCAACUUCAAAAACCUUGGCACAUAUUUGACAUUGAACGAAACUGGUUAGCAACUCUUGUUAGUAGUGAGAUAGGAAAUGGUGAAACCACUUUACUUUCGAAUGAAUUAUGGAAGGGUACCAACCAAUCAGUUUCUAUUUCCUGAACUGUACAUUACUUUGCAGAGAAUAGUGGCAAAUUUACAGCUGCAGAAACCUGUAUUGGAUGUUGAUAAAUGGUUGCCAGAGAGUGCAACAGAUUCUCGGUGAAAGGAUGUUAUGAAGAUCUGUGAUAUUUGCGUUUUUCCAAUGAUUUCAAGGAUGAAUUAUUGAAGGCAGUGCAGAGAUUAUGGUUCACAUCAUUGCCAAAAAAAAUGUGUUUGGUUUGGGACUCUUACAAGAUAGACUUCAUAACCGGCUCGAUUGUGAGGAUUCCCUAUGGACAUUCCUUGAUGUGAUCCCUCAAACUUUUGAUCUCAGUCAAAUGUUCGCAGUUCCGCUCAAUGACGCAUUGGCAGAAACAUCACAUCACCCGACCUUCAGCUUCAAUAUCCCUGGCACAAACAAAAUGUAUUGUUGUCUCUCGUGUUGUAUGAGUGACAUCCAUGGCACUCUUUGUCAGCUAUGGAGACCAUUGCAAAUAGGAAAUAAGAGUAGGAAAUGGAUGAAUACUGUUCUUUUGGUGGUCACAGAGUAUCGUUUGGGCACAAACAAAAUGUAUUGUUUGUCCUUGCAGCAUUUCAACCAGUAAAUUUUCUUUCGUCACAAUUUGUUCCCGAUAUUAUUCCUAUAAUUUAAUGUCAAGUUGUGCGUUCAUCAUGUUUUGGUUUCAACAAAAUAUCCGCUCUCAAUUAAUUUUGAAGUUCCCACUUGGAAAUGUCACUUUGAUUUUAAGGCAUUGACAUUGAUUUUUAAGGCACACAUUGGCUUACACAUAGCAUAUUUCUGACUUUGAAAUGUGAUUGUUACUUCAAUUAGCUUCUCUGUCUCAUCUUCAAUUGAAAAUUUAAAUUCAAAGUCAUUUUUCCUUAACGUUGAGCUAGCCAGAGCUUGUCAUCAUAUUUGGGAUGAAAUAUAUAUAAAUUCUGUAUGGCUAAUUAAGCAUUAAACAUAAUAACCUACACUAAUAAUUGUGUGUGAACGGUUAAUUAAUCAUUUUGAAGACAUAGUUGGUUACCAAUGACACGCAAAUCCAUUUUUAAAGCAAAAAUUUGAUUGUGUAUUAAGCACUGUCAUACAUGAGAUGUGAGUGAGUAAUGUUAUGCUUUGCAACUCAGUUGUACUAUGGCGUUGCUACAUUGGGCAUAAACCUUUGGCAGCUCGACCUAUUUUUAAGGCAUUCAGAUAGGAAAUGGGAAAGAAAUUUCCCACAUUGGUCUUACUAAUAAUUAAGCUCUUUUAUUGCUUUAGUUAACAUGAAUAUAUCAAAGUUUUUGAUGCAUUAGUUUAUUAAGCUGUUUGAUGCUGCCUUCAACUCAACCUUUCUUCUUCCAACAUUUAAAAUAAUUGUAAAAUUAACAAUGAAAAAUAUAAGGGUCAUGCUAACUUGUGCCUUUAGGGCACAAGUUAAAUAGCUUAAGAUGGGGAUUAAAAAUAAAUUUCAUAUUGAAAAUAUAACUUUUGAAACUUUUAAGACAUUGAAUGUACAAUUUUCAAGAAAAAAGUUUUACAUUUAGCUUCUUAAUUUAUGCCACAGGAGCACAAGUUAACAUUUCCCAAAAUAUAAUAUAGAUAUAGAUAGUACAAUGUAAAAUUAACAUUUAGUUAUUGUAUAAAUAUCAAGUUACUGUAUAAACUUGUAUGAACAGCUAAGACCAUUUACAAUGGCUUGUUGAAUGCCAUAUUCAACAUGUUGAGACCAUUGGAGGAGGCUAUUGAAUAUGAGGGAAGGGGAGAGAGGUGUUGAAAAGGUUCAACAUGUUGAAAGCCUGGCCCGCAGUGACACGUGGCUUGUUACGAUUGGCUGCUUGGAUUUUUAUUUUCUUAAUAAUUUGGACUCAAUUAUUUCAUAGCAAAUAAAAAAAAAUUAAUUUUUUUUUACCAAAAUUCGUGAUUUUUUUUUUCUCUACAAAUAGAAACUUGGAUCAUUUGAUUUGGACACAGAAAAAAAAUCAAAUUUUUCACUCUCUUAAUCUUAUUAUUAGCAUUUCUUUUGAAGUUUUAGUCUUUGUUUAGUAAAAUGGAUUCCAAUAAUAAUCAAUUCAACACCCAAAAUUCUUCUGAUUACUCAUUUAGCUACCAAAAUCUCUACGAUCAUCAACAGCCAAAUCAAUUUCCCAACCAACAUCUUCAAAACCCAAAUCAAUUUUAAGUUAUACUUAAAUAAUUACUUGUGUGUUGUAUGCUUAGUUUGUUGUCUUCCAUUUUAAGUUAUUUGUGUCGCAUUUUAAGUUAAGAAAAUAAAAAUAAAUUAUUUUACAAAAUUUUGUUUUUCCAAAAAAAAAAACAAAAAAAUAAAUAGUUGAUUGUAUUAUUUUAAUUUAAUUAUAAUCGAUAAUUUUAGUUAAUUAUAAAAACAAAAAUAUAAAAUUAAAUAAGAAUAAGAAAUAAAAGGUGGUGGGGUAGGGUGUUGAAUGAAAAAACUAUUGGAGAGGUAAAAAUUGAAUGGGUGUUGAAUUAUGAGAGAGAAAAUGACAUAGAGUGUUGAGAAUUGAAAAAGUAGGUGUUGAGAGUAUUGAAAUUUUUUUCCCAUUGUACAUGGUCUAAGUAUUUUGUUUGGACACACAUAAUAUAUAUCAGAACCACUUUUGACUUUUGAAGUCUAAACAAAAUAUCACAGCUGUCAAUUCAUUUCUAAGGUCUCACUUGAAAAUGUCAGUUUGAUUUUUAAGGCAUUGACAUUAAUUUUUAAGGCACACAUUGGUUUAGAUAAGUAUUAAUAGUCUUCAUCAACCUAUCCAUCCUUCAUUGAUGGGUACAGAUGUAGAAAAUUUAAAGGAAAGUGUCCACAUGGAAGAUGAGAAGGAAGUUUCGGACUUGACAUGGUAGUAAAAUUAAAGUGUUGACUUUGGUAGCCAAAACUUGAGAAAAUAUAUGAAAGAAAUAAUAUUUCAGAUCUAUGCUACCCUAAUCUUGUUAACUAACAAAUUAUGUUACAAUUGUAUAAUUAAGCAUUCAAUAUUGCAACUUACACUAAUAAUUGUGUGUGCAUGGUUAAUUAAUCAUUUAGUUCAAGAGGUCAUAUUUUGAAGACAUGUAUAGUUGGUUACCAAUGACAUGCAAAUCCAUUUUUAAAGCAAAAUAAUUCACUAGAACUAGUCUUCAUCUAUCCUCAUGCUAAAAAAGGAUGGGGAUUUAAUACAAAUAUUCAAUACUAUCACUUACGUACUAGUCUUCAUACAACUUCUUUUACUUACUUUUAAUUUUCAACCAUAUGUACAUCCAAUAAUUAACAUAAAAAAAAAAAUGAAAAAGUAGUGAUUGAAUAACAGAUUAAUUUUUGCAACUGUCUUAUUAGAUGUUAGAAGAGCAUGGUUUGCAUUUAUUUUUAUUUCAUGUUAUUUACCACUGAUUAAUUAACUUACUAAGUGAAAAAUCACACAGUUGAAAAAUAAAACUUGUAAAAUGUCUUGUAGAAUAUAUAUGUGUGUGUGUGUGUAUAUAUAUAUAUAUAUAUAUAUAUAUAUAUAUAUAUUUAUUUGUUUCAUAGUUUUAAACAUUUUUUUUUCUCUUCUCAGGUGGUCGUGCUCACAUCUCGGAACCAACAUCACUCUUGAUGAUAUAAAAUAUCAAAAUACAGUAUCGGAAAUCAUGUUUCCAAAUAACAAAAUAGAAAGCCUUAUAUUGCAGUAUUAGGCAAAAAGAAAAAGAAAAAUAAUAGUUCACUACUAUUUAGUGUCACAUUGAACAGUUAUCACAUUGAAGAAAUUUGCAAGAAUAGGUGGAAGUACAAUGAUAUUUAGUAUGUGAUUGGGUCCACACGGCUAUAACAAGUGGCCACAAAGUUUCACAGAUCAUUUUUUUCAUAAGUUUUCUCCUUGUUAUAAAGUUACUUACCAAAGACUUUACAUCACAGACCACAAAAACUUACUCAUUCAUAUUCUGCAUUCCCAAACUCUUUUUUCAUCCAUUUUCUCUCAAUUCUCAUGGCUAUACAAUCACCUUCCUCAUCCUCUUCAUUUUCCUAUGGGUUUAAAUACCAAGUGUUCCUCAGUUUUAGGGGCAUUGACACCCGGCACGGUUUUACCGGCAAUCUCUACAAGGCUCUUAUUGAUAAGGGAAUCCAUACUUUCAUUGAUGACAAUGAUCUUCUCAGAGGAGAUGAAAUCACACCAUCACUCGUUAAGGCCAUUGAAGAAUCCAGGAUUUUUAUUCCCAUAUUUUCUGCCAACUAUGCAUCUUCUUCAUUUUGUUUGGACGAACUUGUCCACAUCAUUCAUUGCUAUAAGACAAAGGGUUGUUCGGUUUUGCCUGUUUUCUAUGGUGUGGAUCCUACUCACAUACGACAUCAGACUGGAAGUUACGGUGAGCAUCUUACUAAGCAUGAAAAGAAGUUCCAAAAUAACAAGGAAAACAUGCAGAGGUUGGAGCAAUGGAAGAUGGCUCUGACCAAAGCUGCCAACUUGUCUGGCUACCAUUGUAGUCAAGGGUACCCCACUUUACUUAAAUCUUGUUUUUCCUGUAAUUUAUAUUUUCUUUUCUUUAACUUCUUUUCCCCAAUAAUCUCAUUUUAAAUCUUAGAAAGGAAGCAUGUUUUUUAUUUAUGUAUUUAAACAAGUAUAAGUUAUUUAUAUGUUAAAACAUGUAUGUGAUUGUGAUUAAUGUAGUCUGUGUACUAACUUAUCUCUUGUACAUGAAUAGAUAUGAAUACAAGUUUAUUGAGAAUAUAGUCAAAGACAUCUCCGACAAGAUCAAUCGUGUUUUUUUACAUGUUGCCAAAUACCCUGUUGGAUUAGAGUCUCGAGUACAACAAGUGAAAUUGCUUCUUGAUAAGGGAUCUAAGGAUGAGGUUCUCAUGGUAGGACUUUAUGGUACUGGAGGCAUGGGUAAAUCAACACUUGCCAAAGCAAUUUAUAAUUUUGUCGCUGAUCAAUUUGAAGGUGUAUGUUUUCUUCACAAUGUCAGAGAGAAUUCAGCUCAUAAUAAUUUGAAACAUCUCCAGGAGGAGCUCCUUUCAAAAACUGUUAGAGUGAAUAUUAAGUUAGGAGAUGUUAGUGAGGGAAUUCCAAUCAUAAAGGAAAGACUAUCUAGAAAGAAGAUUCUUUUGAUUCUCGAUGAUGUUGACAAACUGGAGCAGCUAGAGGCUUUGGCAGGAGGACUUGAUUGGUUCGGUUGUGGAAGCAGAGUCAUCAUUACCACUAGAGAUAAACACUUGCUAAACUGUCACGGGAUAGAAAUAACAUAUGCCGUAAAAGGGCUAUAUGGGACAGAAGCACUUGAAUUGUUGAGAUGGAUGGCUUUUAGAGACAAUGUUCCUUCAGGUUAUGAAGAAAUUUUAAGCCGUGCAGUUUCAUAUGCUUCAGGACUUCCCUUAGUUAUAGAAGUAGUGGCUUCAAACUUGUUUGGAAAGAGCAUCGAAAAAUGGAAGAGUACAUUAGAUGGAUAUGAAAAGAUUCCCAAUAAAAAGAUUCAAGAGAUACUUAAAGUAAGCUAUGAUGAUUUGGAGGAAGAGGAGCAAAGUGUCUUUUUAGAUAUAGCUUGUUUUUUCAAAGGAUGUAGAUUGAGUGAGGUCGAAGAGACACUUCUUGCUCACUAUGGUCAUUGCAUAAAACAUCAUGUUGGAGUGUUGGUUGAAAAAUCUCUCAUAGAGAUUAAUACACAAAGCCAUCGGUCAUAUAAUGAUGAUGUGGCAUUACACGAUUUGAUAGAGGACAUGGGUAAAGAAAUCGUCCGACAAGAAUCAAGUAAAGAGCCCGGAGAACGUAGUAGGUUAUGGUGUCACAAUGACAUAGUUCAUGUUUUACAGAAAGAUACCGUAAGAUUGAUAUCUAUGAACAAUUUGUUAUUUUAGCUGUAACCAUGAUUUUCGCUCUUUAUGGACUUAUAUAUGAUCAUCUUAUACUAGGUUCUUUUUUCACUUCAAUACAUGUAUAUUUCUAUACAUAUUAUUUGUAUUGUGGCUUAUUCGUAUAUUUUUUGGUUAAAAGGGAACCAGUAACAUUGAAAUGAUAUAUCUGAAUUGUCCCUCGAUGGAAACCAUAAUAGACUGGAAUGGAAAGCCCUUCAGGAAGAUGACAAAUCUCAAAACUCUUAUCAUUGAAAAUGGCCGUUUUUCUAAAGGUCCAAAACAUCUUCCAAGUAGUUUGAGAUUUUUGAAAUGGAAAGGAUGUCCUUCGAAGUCUCUAUCAUCUUGUAUUUCAAACAAGGCAAGUGAAAUAAGUUCAUUUUUCGAUCGUGUAUAUUUAUAAAUUCAGUAUUAUAUUAUAAUUAUAAUUAUAAUUAUAAUUUUAACUUCUUUUUUAUGCAGGAGUUCAAUAAUAUGAAAUUCAUGACAUUGGACGAUUGUGAAUAUUUAACCCAUAUACCCAAUGUCUCAGGUCUCUCAAAUUUAGAAAAGUUCUCAUUUCGAAAUUGUGCUAAUUUAAUUACAAUUCACAAUUCAGUUGGAUACCUAAAUAAACUUGAAAUCUUAGAUGCAUAUGGUUGCAGAAAGAUCGUAAGUUUUCCACCCUUACGGCUUCCCUCUCUUAAGGAAUUUCAACUCAGUUGGUGUAAGAGUCUCAAGAAAUUUCCAGAAUUACUAUGCAAGAUGUCAAAUAUAAGAGAAAUUCAGUUAAUUGAAUGUCUUGACGUAGAAGAAUUUCCAUUUCCAUUUCAAAAUCUCAGUGAACUUAGUGAUUUAGUGAUAAACAGAUGUGAAAUGCUCAGGUUCCCAAGACACGAUGAUAAAUUGGAUUUCAUAGUGUUUUCAAAUGUGCAAAUGCUCGAUCUCAAUAACAGCAAUCUCUCAGAUGACUGUCUUCCAAUACUUCUCAAGUGGUGUGUUAAUGUGAAAUAUCUAAACUUAUCAAAGAACAAUUUCAAAAUUCUACCCGAGUGCCUUAGUGAAUGUCACCUUCUUAAGCAUCUUUAUUUGGAUAAAUGCCAAUAUCUUGAGGAAAUUAGAGGGAUUCCACAGAAUCUCGAACACUUGGAUGCAGUGAACUGUUAUUCAUUGACAUCCUCAUGUAGAAGAAUGUUAUUGAGCCAGGUUUGAUGUUUUUUCUUGUAAUAGUAUUCAAUAUAUAGUUUUUAAUAUAAUUCAGUGUAGUAAUAUAUUUUAUGCUAAACUAACAGAAACUACAUGAGGCUGGAUGUACUCGUUAUUAUUUUCCAACCGGGGCUGAGAGGAUCCCAGAUUGGUUCGAGCACCAAAUCAGGGGACAAACAGUUUCUUUCUGGUUUCGUAAAAAGAUCCCUUCUAUUAUUUGUAUUCUUCUUCUUCCGGGAUCUAAGCUGAUUCCAAGAUUCAAUUUGUUUAUCAAUGGCCGUAGAGGUGAUUAUUCUACUGAUUAUUUAUCGUCUUGUCCCUCUUACAUGAAUCUGUCAGAACAUACAUUUUUGUUUGAUCUGACUUUGGAAGAAACCAGUGAACAUUUCAGUCCCACGUCUGAAAUGGACAAUGCACUUUUAAAAAAUGAAUGGAUCCAUAUCGAGCUUAAGUUGGAGAAUUUCAAUCUUCCUGAAAUAGAGAUAAAAAAAUUAAGCAGUGCGCAAAUUGGAAUCCAUGUGUUGAAGGAGAAAAGCAACACGGAUGAGGAUAUGAUAUUCAGCAGUCGUAAUAGAAAGCGAAAAUUAGAUGAAGAUGUCAAUGCUUCAUUACCACAAUUUCAUCCUGCGCAGAAAAAGCAUAGAUUUGUGGAAGUGGAACUUACAGAGACAGAAAUUUUGCAGCAACAGUAUCUAGCUUUAGUGUCAGACAUGCAGAACUUGGUGCUUACUGAAACAAAAGAAAAGGAACACCAUCUAGCUUUAGUGUCAGGCAUGCACAACUUGGUGCUUAUUGAAACAAAAGAAAAGGAACACUGUGACUAGGUACAUCAAUAUCGUUAUUAUAAACAAAUUAAUUGUUUCUAGCUGUAAAAGUUUUUUAAACGACAAGACACGAUGUAAUAUUCUGGGGACGAUGCUUUGUAGCACAUAAACUUCUGGUUGAUGGCGUGUCUGACAUGUGUUUGUGUCUAACACCAACCCGACACGGACGCAUAUUAUUACUUUCAAAUAUAUUAUUUUCUCAAAUUUCAAUCACUAUCGACGAAUCAGUGUCAGUGUCGAGUUUGGUUUUCGUUAUGCAUAAUCCUUACCAACAUUUUGUUAUUUAUCUCCCUGUUCUAAUGGUUCAAAAUGUCGAAAUGAAGGUUCACAGAGUUUGCAACUGCUCAAAGUUCAACAAGUAGACUAUCUUAUUUUAAAUUUUAUCCACUUUAAGCUUACAAACUUGACAAUUUAUGUUAAAGUCUUCAUGAGGUAUUAUAAAAAUUUAAGAGAAGUCGGUAUGGUGGAUUGAAUCGAUCUUUUGAGUGAAAUAGUUAGUAGCCUAAACACAGUAUUAAUGGUUAAUGAAUAAAUUUUUGAAUAUUGCUCUGCAUUUUGUUGAUAAAGUUAAAUGUACUAUUAGUAGGUAUACAGAAAUCAUGACCCUGUAAAUGUACUGUACUAUCUCUCCCAAUGUCAUAUAAUUUCACAUAUGGAGAAAUUAAUAGCCCAUAUGCAUUUUUUAUCUUUUAUGUGAAGUAUAAAGUGCAUAUCGCUCAAAUUUCAUGAACACAUUUUACCAUAUCACACGAACAUUCUAUAGACGAAAUUAUGAGUUCAAUAAUAGUAACUUUUUUUUUUUUGACAAGUUCAAUAAUAUUAACUUAAAAUUAGGAGAUAAAGGUUUUAAAUAACGGUUGCGGUCGAGUAUAGGAUUUCACAAUUUCGGCCGUUACGAGUGUUGCGAUACGAAUUGCGGUUGUCACGGUGUGAAUUAAUCACAACAUUGCACAACUCUUAAAUCACAAUAGUAACUUAAAUAAUUUAAACUAAAGAAAGAUUUGGAGUUCUAAACUAUACAAGGAGAUAACACAAAUGAUGAAGAAAGUAGCAUACUAACAUUUCUAAUAUUACUAUACUAUUAUUCUGCUUCUUAAAUUUCCUAUUUUUGUCUGAUUUUGGAGUCCACAAAACAACUUCAUUUAUUUUUAUUUUAUAUAUACUGUUAUUUUACUCUCAUGAAGUAACAAAGAAAGAUUGCAUUUAUAGUAGUAAAAAUGAAAAAAUAUAAGAAGUCUAAUAAAUAACGAGAUACGAGGGCAAUGAAAAUAAAAGUGGUGGUACAAUUAUUGUGACUGGUCCACACAACAGCUAUAGAAAAGGGAGAAGGAAGUGUUGGAUAUAUAACAUUUACUCCCUUCAAGUUUAUUGAUCAUACACCAUGAAAUUGUACCGUCGUAUAUAUAAAUGUUAUUAUGUUAUUUUGACAAAAUUUAUGAAGCUAAAAAUUAUGUUAUAAAUUAUCUAAUUUUUUAUAUUAUUGAAAUGAUAAAGCAUAAUAAUAAAGGAAUUAAUAAUUUUUUAGUCUAAAAAGCUAUUAUAAAUAUUCGAAUUUUCUGUCGGUUUUUGGUUUGUGAUGGAAAGUGAAGUCCUUGGAACCUUUGGAUGUACAUUGUUAUGGAUGACUCAAAAUUUGGUGAUUUAAGAAAGCGAAGAAUCAUGACACGAUUUGACAUCCGUGUCACGAUAUCUGAUGUUGAAUGCAUGGUUGGUCCUGGAGGCAAAACGUGACACGAUUUUGGGAAAAUGUGACAAGAUUUUCGACUUGCUGGACUCGUUUUCAGGAUAAGGUUGGUCGUACCUUGGGUCGUACGCACCAACAUUGUCACGAUUUGGGAAAACGUGACAUGAUUAUGCCCGGAUCUGAACACUGCAUAUGCAUUCUAUGACCAAUUUGUUGGGUAAGCUUGGUGAAUCUCAUGGAAACUGUUAUCAUGGUUUUUGGGUGCCAAGCCAUUAAUUGGACUUGAACCUUUUGACCGUUGAUAUCCCUCUUUUUUCUUGGGAAGGGUAAAAGGAGAAAAACCCUUGAGUUUUCGGAUUCGGGGGUCGUUUUCGCUACGGGAAGGUGUUAGGCACCCGGAGCGAUUAUGGUAUUCCAUAAGAACCGCUUUCCUAAGUUUAUUUCUACGCUUUAAUUUUAUUGCUUAUUUGUAAAAAAGGAAGGUGUGAUUAGUUAAGAAUGGAGGUGAGAAGAAGUAGAAUUUGAUUUUUAUUUCGGCUUGGAUGAGUUUUGACUCAUUGCCUACGUACCGUUUUACGGGAUCAAAACCGGCGUAGUUCUUGCUAAAAAGACUUGUUUUUUUGUUUUAAUUGUUUGAUUUUAAGUUUUGAAAAUGGUUUUGAAGAAGGAGAUUGGGAGGCUUCAUGAGCAUUAGAUUUAGCAAAAAAGUGAGGUUUGAUUAGUGAUUAAAAAGAAAGUCUAAAUGAUUAAGAUGAAUUGAAUUUUUCUUAAGAAAAAAGAAAGGAAAAAAAAAAUGAAGUGUUGACUUCAUAUUUAUUAUGAAAAUUUUUUGAAGUGAAGUUCAAUUGUUUUUUUUUAAAAAAAGGAUGGAUUUUCUCUAAGUGUUUAAACCUAAACGCUUAUCUAACCAUACAAUCCUAUGCAUACAUCUAAGGUGAGUGUGUGCGUGUCGGUGCGUCAUAGUGUCCAUAGUCCAUAUUACAAAAAUUGCCUAAAUACAUUCUAUGGCCCCUUUGCCAAGCUACAAACCAAUGAUAACAAAUUACAUCACCAAAUGAGUUAAAACUUGCAAAGAGAAUAAAUGCUAAGCUAAAGAAAGUGGAAGAGAUAGUGGGAUGCUAUGAAAUGUAUGUCACAUGAGAUGAAAUGGUUAGUAAUCAUAAAGCAUGAAAUAGUAAGAAAUAAAUAAAAAGAGAUUGUAUAAGAAUAGCAAAAAAAGAAGUAAUAAAGUGGUAAAAACCUAUAAAAAAUUUGAUAUGAUACCUAAAUGUGCUUGUGACCCAUAAUCAUCACAUCAUGGCAAUUUUGAAAGAGAUUUAGUUUCAAGCCAUGAUGUGGAAUUAAUAGAGACACAUGCAAGCAAAGUAUCACACCAAAUUCAUAGAGGAAUUUGACACUUUAUCCCUUAAAACACACACUUGUUGCUUGCAAAACAAGAAAUUUACAAAAUCAUAUCCAAAAACCAGCAAGAAAGCACAUGACCAGAGGCAUAUUCAUCACAAGAUUGGGUAUCAUUUAUUCAUGUCACACAUCAAAGUGUCAAGAACAAAAACAUAACCAAAAUAAUACCCAAAAAUGUAAACACACAUGGAAAUUAAUUCAUGCCAUUUUACCAUUUUUUUUAUGCAAAAACACCAUAGAAAUACCAAAAAUAUAUCAAGAAACAAUCUAGGAUUUUUUUAGGAAUUUUUUUGUAAAAAAAGUGAGCAAGCAACAGGUGCAGAUAGCAAAGACAUAUGGUGCAGAUAGCAGGAAAAUAACAAAAAAACGUAAAAACCUAAGCCCAAACCAAAGCCCAAUACACAAAACUCAGAUUGCACAGGAGACGUUGGAUUGAUCUAGAGGCUGAGAAAGAAAGGAAAAAACCGAAAAUAAACCGGACCGGUUCAAAGCUCUAUAUAUAUGCUUCAAGUCCGGUUUUUUUCAUUUCUUUCUUUUCCUUCUCUCUCUUCUCCCCUCUAGUGAGAGAAGCUCUCACUUCUCUCUAAGAUUCCGGUCAUCUUCUCCGGCUAACUCCUCCGUUCCGGCGCGGCGGAUGGCGGCGGCGCCACCGUGCCGGAAAAUCAAACUGCUCCGAUUCGAGAAAUUUUUACAUUUUUAGAUAUCCUUUUUUAUAUACUUCUCGAAUCCGAACUUAGAUUUUUUCGAAAAAAGCUUGAAUCGGAGUAGAUCUGAGUUUGAAUCUUGACAAAAAAACUUAAGAAAACGGAAAGGAAAAGAGGGAGAACGACGGCGGUUACCUCACGAUUGCGAUGACUCUUGGCCUGGCGUUGUUGCUUCGUGUUUGUGUUUCUGUUGUUUCGCGUUCUGCUGCUGUGCUUCGUGUGCUUGCUUGCGUGUUUGCUCGCUCGCGCUUGCUUGCUCACGUUUGCUUGCUCUUUUGCUUGCUGUUUUUGCUUGCUGUUUUUCGGUUUCUUCUUCUUCCUUGCAGAUUCGGUUCCUUCUUCUUCUCCCACCGUGAUCGGUGCUUGAGUUCUUCACUUCCGGUGAGGAAUUCGCACCUUGUAUUGCGGUGGAAUCGAUUCGAUGAUGAAGAUUCGUACACGAAUCUCUGAGAAUUGAUGAUGAAUUUCGGUUAGGGUUCUUUUUUGUUCUUGAGAAAUUUCUGUUUUUGAUCUAACAGAAAAGAGAGAGAAAAUGGGAAUUUGUUUUUGGUGAUGUGUAUUGUAAUGAGUGGAUCUGAUCUAUGUGGCACUGUGAAUAGUAUUUAUAGCUGACAUGUGUGAGUGAUUGGACCAUUAGAAAGCUGACAUGUGGCAUUGGAAAAAAAAAAAGGCGCUGCCCUGUAAUUUUUGACUUGAAGGACCUGUUUGCAAUUUUGAAAGAAAUAGGGACUGGACUGAAAAAAUAAAAGUAAGGACUGAAAUGAAAUUAAAAAACUUUUUGGACAAAAAUGCAAUUUUGGAACCUCAAUUGAGGGACCAAAAUGUAAUUGAAAUAAAAUUGAAUAAAAAACGCAAUUUGACCAAACGUAAAGCGAAACAAAAGUAAAAUUGACAAAACGGACUAAAACGAACCAAUGGCCUAAAUGAGGUACUUCAAAGUAACCUCUCUAUGCCAAAAUUUUGUGUGAAAUGACCAAAAUGCCCCUAGGGCUAAAAAUGACCUAAACUGACUCAAACAGACUUGACACUGACUCAGAUGCAAGUUUGAAAUGAAUUUAACAAGAUUUACUGAUGAAAUGUUAAAAUCAAUCUGAAAAGACUCAGAGACAGUCGCAAGGAUGAAAAUGGGUCCCACUGCAGGAAAUGACCAAAAUACCCUUCUGUACGACUUUUUGCAAAUUUUGAAAUAAACUGUAGAAGAAAGCAAUGCAAUGAUUCAGAGACAUUUUUGAAUGACUUACAAGACAAGUAGAGACAUUUUGAAAGGUUUUAUGCAAGAAAAACAUAGGUAAAAUUGUGAUUGAAAAUACUGCGAAGCAGGGACAAUUUGAACUGUGCAGUUGAAAUUUGAUGAUUGACAAAGUUUGAAAUGAAAUUGGGCCCAGUAUUUUUAGGUCCAAAAACAGGGUAUAACAGCUGCCCCUAUUUAAGUUUCUUUGUCUGGAGAGUCAAGAGACGGAGUCUUUGGCUUGACAGGACGAAGAUACUUAAAUAUUAGCAUUUGCACUGUGUUUGGACGUAAAAAUACGCCUACCCAUUUUCAAAUAAUAUGCAUGCCAUGCAUCAUCUGGAUUAUGAAUGCAAGACCUCAUGGGGAUUGGAAUUAACAAAAUAUGUCGUAUCCAUUGCGGGAUUGGUAGACAUUGACAAAGAUAGUGAAUAGCAGAGUAACGGGAAACUAGAAACAAGUUGGACAGGUACAAGCUGUUCUUGGAUUCAAACUAGCCACUUGACCGGGGAUGAAACAAACAGACAACUGCGAGUUGUUCUUAUGGAUUCGAACUGGUCACUUCACAGGGGAUAGAGGUUACUGGACAAACACGAGUUGUUCUUAUGGAUUCGAACUGGUAACUCACUUGGGGAUGUUGGAAAGUGCGAGUUGUUCUUAUGGAUUCGAACUGGUGACUCGACUGAAAACAUGUAAAAUUGGCAGGUACGAGUUGUUCUUAGGGAUUCGAACUAGUUACUCGACUGAAAGCAAGGCAAAUAGACAGGUGCGAGCUUGUUCUUGGAUGCGAACUGGUUACUCCACCGGGCAGAAACAGAUAGACAGGUACAAGCUGCUCUUGGAUCGAGCUAGCCACUUGACCAAACGGAAACAUAUUGACAGGUACGAGCUGCUUUUGGAUUGAGCUGGGCACUCGACCGAUAACAUGAGCAAAUUGAUAGGUACAAGCUGUUCUUGGACUUGAACUAGCCACCUGACCAAACAGAAACAUAUUCACUGGGGAUUGGUUUGUUCUGACAAAAUAUAGAUUGAGAUUGACUUGACGUCGAUUUGAAUUGAAAGUUAGAAAUUGACUGAUAUUAUUGGCUCACAAGGUUUUGACAGAGAACCUGACAUGAGUAUUGAAUUGAGACUGAUGUUGACGUUGGAAAUGUGAUAUGCAUGGAUGAUAUAACAGUUUCAUUAAAUGCAUGGGCACGUAAUAUGCAUGAUUAUGCAUGUAUGAAUGCUUGUAAUGUAUGACUGUUGGCAGUUUGUAGGCACGACUUCACGGGGAAGACAAGACAUUAGAGUAUUGGGCACGUAGUGGCUCGUGCUAUAUGACACAUUCUUGGAAAUCCUCUUUGGAGAUGACGUCGUUGGGAGACGUUUCGGGACCUAGGCUGAGGGUGGGCAGGUAUGCAACUUGCUGGAGAUAGAAUCUUGGAAGACUUUACUGGGGAAAACGCCGUUGUGCUGGGCAUUUCAGUGCUGGGUACGUUGUAGACAUUGCAUCUGUGGUCAAUGCUUUUUGCAUGUUAUUUUCUCAACUUUCAUUCAUCAUUUUUUUAUCCCAUUUUUGCCUGGAUCGCCCUUUCGGGUUUUCGAUCCACCGGGGAAAUAAAUUCUUUUUAAUGCCCCUUUUUUGCCUGAACUGCCCUUUCGGGUCGUCAAUCCAGCGGGGUGCUCAUUUUUGCCUAAGCCGCCCUUCCGGGUUUUCGACUUAGCGAGCCUAUUUAUUUUCAUGCAUUUUCAUUCUGUUUUUUCAUUCUUGCCAUUGACCACAGACUAUCCUGGAGGAGAACCUGCUUGUAGCAUAUAUUGAAAUAGACAUUCACAUACCCUCGCUCAUGCAUGUUUCAUUUGAUUGUACCCUGUUGCUCAGGUUUGUUUUUCAAAAUAGACAAAAAGUUUUCAAUCUUCAAAAAUGUUUGUUUCAAGCAUUGUCAUUAUCAAAAUAGAAAGAAAAUGUUUUGUAUAUAGCUUUGAAAGUAGAAGAAAAUAGAAUUUCAAACAAAAGCACAAGCUCAAAUUGAUGUAUAAGAGUGGUGGUCAGCCAAAGGCGUGACUCCACGGAUUCACAAAGCUUGGAAAAUGGUAAUUUUAUUGGUUGGUGGUACAUUGAACACAGUAAUCACUACAUUUCUUAGAAACUUUGAAUCCACAAGUGCAGAAGCUUUUGAUGAAGACGGUCAUUAACAGCUGCAGAUGCCCCAAGGGGGACGGUGGUUGGCCAGAUAUAGUUACUUGCCUCUUGUUUCAAUCUCAUUUUUGCAUGAACCGCCCUUCCGGGUUUUCGGCUCAUCGAGACGCUCAUUCUUGCCUGAGUUGUAUACAAUCUCAGCGAGCUUUUCAUAUUUGUUUUUUGUCCCUUAUUUUGCCUGGACCGCCCUUUCGGGUUUUCGAUCCACCGGGAAGCGCAUUUUUGCCUAGGCCGCCCUUUCGGGUUUUCGACCUACCACGCUGUUCUUUUCAUAUUUUUAGGCAAAGUAUUUCUUGACUAUAUCGGCAUUCACUGGAUUUGGAAGUUCUACACCAUCCAUGUGUGUAAGGAUUAAAGCACCACCGGAGAAGGCCUUCUUGACAACAUAAGGACCUUCAUAGUUAGGUGUCCACUUGCCCCUUGGGUCGGGUUGCUGGCUUAUCCUUCUUUUCAAUACAAGUUCCCCUACCUUGAAUUCUCGAGGAUGAACUUUCUUGUCAAAAGCAGUCUUCAUUCUUGCUUGAUAUGAAUGUCCACGAGCCAUGGCAUCCAUACGUUUUUCCUCAAUCAAAUUCAACUGAUCAUACCGGCUUUGGCACCAUUCAGCCUCAGAUAACUUUGCUUCCAUGAUUACCCGGAGAGACGGGAUCUUCACUUCCAAAGGAAGAACUGCUUCCAUACCAUAUACAAGAGAAAAAGGGGUUGCCCCGGUUGAACUGCGCACUGUAGUACGGUAACCAUGCAGAGCAUAGGGUAACAUCUCAUGCCAGUCCUUGUAAGUGGUCACCAUCUUUUGGACAAUUCUCUUGAUAUUCUUGUUGGCGGCCUCAACUGCACCAUUCAUCUGAGGUCUAUAGGGAGAAGAGUUAUGAUGCUCAAUUUUGAAUUCUUCACAAAGAGCUUGCACCACAUUAUUGUUCAGGUUGGUACCAUUGUCGGUAAUAAUCUUGCUGGGAACACCAUAUCGACAGAUGAUGUUGUUUUUGAUGAACUUAGCUACCACUUGCUUGGUCACAUUGGUAUAAGAUGCUGCUUCAACCCACUUGGUGAAGUAGUCAAUUGCCACUAAGAUGAAACGAUGACCAUUUGAAGCCUUCGGUUCAAUUCUUCCAAUCAUGUCGAUGCCCCACAUUGAGAACGGCCCUGGGGAUGACAUAACAUUGAGAGCAUGCGGAGGCACAUGAAUCUUAUCAGCAUAGAUUUGACAUUUGUGGCAUUUUCUGGCGUAUUGGUAGCAAUCAUGCUCCAUGGUCAUCCAGUAGUAACCUGCUCGUAACAACUUCCUUGACAUAGUAUGCCCUGUAGCAUGGGUCCCGAAGGUACCGUCAUGUACAUCAUGCAUUAACUGCUCCGCUUCAUGUUCAUCAACACAUCUUAACAAUACCAUGUCAUAGUUUCUCUUGUACAGAAUAUCUCCAUCUAACAGGAAUCUACUGGCCAAUCUUCUCAAGGUCUUCUUGUCUUGCUUGGAAGCACCCGGCGGAUACUCACGGCUCAGCAAGAACUGUUUGAUGUCGUAGUACCAGGGUCUAUAGUCAACCACAUUUUCACCAGCCUGAUCGAUCACAUCCCCAAUAGCAAACACAUGCGAAGGUCUUUCGAGGCGUUGUACUUUGAUUAAUGGCACGUCAUUCCAAUGGUUUACUCGGAACAUGGAAGAUAGAGUAGCAAGAGCAUCAGCCAUUUGGUUCUCAUCACGAGGGAUAUGGUGCAACUCAACCUUUGUAAAAUAUGUCAGCAAACGUCUCGCAUAAUCACGAUAAGGAAUCAACUUAGCAUGAUGGGUCUCCCAUUCACCCUUUAUCUGAUUGAUGACGAGCGCGGAAUCUCCAUAGAUGUCGAGGUGUUUGAUUCUCAUGUCAAUUGCUUCCUCGAUCCCAAAAAUACAUGCUUCAUACUCAGCCAUGUUGUUGGUACAUUCAAACAGAAUUCGGGCGGUAAAAGGAAUGUGAUGCCCCUGCGGGGAUACAAUGACUGCCCCAAUUCCUUUACCAUAAGCAUUGACAGCACCAUCAAAGACUAAACCCCACUUGCUAUUGGGAUCUGGACCUUCAUCAAUCAACGGUUCUUCGCAGUCUUUGGAUUUCAAAUACAUGAUCUCUUCAUCAGGGAAAUCGAACUCAAUUGGUUGGUAAUCAUCAAGAGGUUGGUAAGCAAGAUGAUCGGCAAGAAUGCUACCUUUGAUUGCCUUUUGAGUUUUGAACACGAUAUCGUAUUCAGACAAAAGCAUCUGCCAGCGUGCAAUCUUCCCAGUAACAGCAGCUUUCUCGAAGAUAUACUUUAUCGGAUCCAUUUUGGAUAUCAACCAAGUUGUAUGAUUCACCAAAUAAUGACGCAGGCGUUUAGCGGCCCAGGCCAGAGCACAACAAGUCUUCUCGAGCAUUGUAUACCGAGUUUCACAGUCGGUGAACUUCUUGCUUAGAUAGUAGAUAGCGUGCUCUUUCUUUCCAGUUUCAUCUUGUUGACCAAGCACGCAUCCCAUGGAUUCAUCAAAUACUGCCAAAUACAUAAUCAAAGGCCUUCCUUCCACGGGUGGGACAAGGAUAGGUGGUUCCAGCAGGUAAUUCUUGAUGCUAUCAAAAGCUUCCUGGCAUUCAUCGUUCCAUACAAUAGGCUGAUUCUUGCUCAAGCAGUCGAGUGAUCUCAUAUGGUAUAUCAUCAUCCUCUUCAUCUUCGGCUUCAUACACAGGGAAUUCAAAAUUUGGAGGAACCGUAGGAUUACUGUGUUCAACGGGUUUAUUAUGGUUCAACCUGCAUAUAAUGAUUGGAUGAUUUUAGAAAGAGUUUUUUUUUCAUGCAGAUUUUUGAAAUUAAUAAGAAAAUACAGACGUUUUGGUUUUUUCUGGCAUUACCAUUGUUUCCAAGGGAAAAAGCACUAAAAAAAAAGUAGUCGUGGAAGAAACGACAAAAUUUUAUUAAUCAACGGCAAUGCCGAAACAAACAUGCCCUUACAGAAAAUAUCACUCUCGCUUUGGGCAGAGCGAGAGGAUUGUUAUUUUGAAAACAAAGCACUAAAGCAACAAGACACAUUACUCAGAAACAUGCAUGAUUGAAGGAAUGUCAAUGGCAUCCCAAUCCGUCGCAAUGCCUCCUGGUGUAACAAAUGCAGGCCUGAGACCAGAUCCAGUGGCUUCUUCAGAGAUAGCAUUAACAAACCCUGCACUGUGGAAGACUCCCGAGGAAACCCUUGAUGACGGGGAGAACCCGAGACCUUCUUUACGCUUGUUCUCACAGAGCUGUAUCACCUUGCCCCAUCCGGCAGUCUGACCUUCCUGGAUAACCUUCUGAGCAUCUUUCAAUGAAGCCAUAGCAGCCCCAGCUUUCUUAAGCUCCGCACCUUCAAUGGUCAAACCUUGGAAAGCAGUCCCUUCAGCAGACCCUGCUUCAAUACAAGAAAAGGAAGACAGCUGGCUGACUAAGUAUGCCUCUUCACCAUGAAUGGUAACGAGCUUUUCAUUCCUUACGAAUUUCAACUUCUGAUGUAAGGUAGAGGUUACCGCACCUGCAUCGUGUAUCCACGGUCUUCCCAGCAGGCAACUGUAGGAUGCAUUAAUGUCCAUCACUUGGAAGGUAACCAAGAAAUUCUCAGGGCCAAUGGUUAUCGGCAAGUCUAUCUCCCCCAGCACAUUCUUUCGAGAUCCGUCAAAAGCUUUGACCAAGAAAGUACUUCUCCUCAAAGGGACCCCACGGUAGCUCAACUGAUCUAGAGUUGUCUUGGGCAUUACAUUGAGAGAGGAACCGGUAUCCACCAACACAUUUGAUAUCAUAUCUGAUUCACAAUUCACCGAGAUGUGCAAAGCCAGAUUGUGACUCUUUCCCACUUCCGGCAACUCUUCUUCACUAAACCAGAGAUUGUUACAAGCAGUAAUUUUUCCCACUAUGCCACCAAACCGAUCUACCGUAACUUCGUGGUCAACAUAUGCCUGCUCCAGCACUUUCAACAAGGUAUUCCUGUGAGCCUCAGAGCUUAAGAGUAAUGACAAGACAGAUAUCUUUGAAGGAGUCUGCAGCAAUUGAUCAACGAUCUUGUAGUCGCUCCUCUUUAUUAUCCUCAGAAUCUCAUCUAAAUUCGAAUCCUCUAUAGAUUUGCCUGACUGGUUCGCAUCUGUAGCAAUAGGUGAAACAACGGUUGGAGUUGCUUCUUCAACUGGUGGAAUGGUCGGUGUAGCUACCUUCUGCUGGAAUAACGGCGGACGAACCUUCCCGCUUCUUAGUGCUGCAGAAGUCCCUUCGGCAAUAUUGCUUACUGUGGCAAAGGAGGCUAGAGGCACCUCUACUCCAUUUUCUAUCAAAGUAGCAUUGUACUUGUAUGGCACUGCCUUGUCCGAAACAUAAGGAAUUGGUCCUGGCAACCUUAUCACCAAAGGCUCAGCAUUCUUCUUCAAAGGUACACUCUUGACAGGCGGAUCGUGAAAAACUGGCACGACCACGCAAACAUCACUGACAGUCAGAAGAUUAUCAUCCAUCAAGCUUUGGAUGUCGUCUUGAACAGUAUAGCAGCCCAAAGGAUCACAGAGGCAUCCUAGACACUUGGCAUGAUCAUGGCUGAACAGAGAGGCUUUGCACAGCUUGACGUGCAGAGCAGAGGCACCAGAGGAGUGGCAACAUUGUGGACAUCAAGUCUAGGAUUUUCCUCACACACUUCGAUCAUAUUCACAGCGGCAUGAUUUGGUAGCGGAUUGUCGAGGACAUGUGGGACAUUAUUCUCAAAAGUCAGCUUCCCUUGAUCAAUGAGUUUCUUCACGAUAUACUUCAAAGCAUAACACCCCUCGACAUCAUGACCUAAGGCACCUUGAUGAAAGUCACAUUUGAGAUCAGACCUGAACCUUGGAGGCAACGGAUCAGGUGGUGGCUUGCCCUGUCUAGUUGUACAAUGACCUCUCUGGAGUAGAGUUGGAAGAAGUUCGGCAUACAACAUCGGUAUAGGAGGGAAGGUUGGUCUAGCAUAUUGCUGCUGCUGCUGUUGUUGUUGUUGUUGUUGAACCGGCAACUGUUGUUUCAUCUGUUGGGCAAUUGCAUUGACGGGCACUUGAGGCUGGCCCGGUGGCAAAGGGUACUGAUGAUAAAACGGUGGGAAGAAAGGAUGCUGAGAAUACGGCAUGUAUGGGUAUGACGGAGGCAUUUGGGCUGUAUUGAUAGGUGCAACAGUAGCCAUUGAUUGCCCGGCUCCAGCUGACACCAUCCCCACUUCCGUUUCUUUCUUCUUGUGGUGUCCAUUACCAUACCUCUUCGAUGCGCUCGUAGAAGAUUCAGCUUUCUCAAACACAAUGAUUCCAUCCCUGACGGCUUCCUCAAGACGGGUUCCCAUAGUGACCAUCUCCGAAAAGUUGUUCGGGGCAGCGAUGAUCAUCCUCUCAACAUAAUCUUUCUUCAAGGUCUUUAAGAACGUCUGGGUCAUUUCUUCUUCAUCUAAAGCAGGAGUGAUACGGGCAGCUGCCCCUCUCCACCUUUGCGCAUAUUCACGGAAACUUUCCUCCUUUUUCUGAGAUAGGGACCUGAGGAACUCCCUAUUCGGCUUCAAUCGAGUGUUAAACCCGUAGUGACUCCUGAAAGCGGUGGCUAGCUCAUCAAAGGUGUGGACAUCAUCUUUGCUCAGACUAGUAUACCACUCUGCAGCAUCUUCCAUCAGACUGUCUUGGAAGUAAUGGAUCAUAAGGGAAUCAUUGUCCUUGUAGUUGCCCAUCUUCCGGACAUAUUUGACAAUAUGAUUUUGAGGACAAGUCAGCCCGUUAUAUUUGUCGAACUCCGGGACUUUGAACUUUUUUGGAACAUCUACCUUCGAUACCAAGCAGAGAUCCUGGGUUUUAAUGGAGUCUCCAUUUCCCCUGUUGGCCUUAAUUUCCCGUCGGAGCUCUUUGGCAAGUUCUUCCAUUCUCUCUUCCAUAGUUCCGGUUGUGGCAAUACUCCCGUGGUGUGCAUUAGCAUGAACAAAUAGAGGCACCGCAUUCACAAUGGGCUCGGUAACAGUUGUUGCGGCUUGAGUCAAGGCGGUACUAACAGGAGUUAAGUUUGCCCCUGGGAUUUGGGCCAUUGUUGGUAGUACCAGAGGUCCCUGCCCCUGUAUUAGCAGUAUAGUACAGCGGAAGUCCGUAAGGAUACCCGGAUGGCAUGAUAGAGCGGGGAUCAGUUGUUACGGUAGGAGUCACAUUUGCAGCUGUAGAAACUACAGGAACUGGUUGUUCCUGAGCAGCCAACAGAGCAGUCAUAGCAUCAUGAGCUUUGGCCAAUUCCUCCCUUAGAGAUGCCAAUUCGGUACGAAGCUGUGUGUUCUCUUCUUCCAUAGCCCUUUUCUUUCUUCUGUAUUCUCUGGUUCGAUCGGUUCUAUCAGGUUCGUAAACUCUCUGAGCACGAGCCACUUUUCACACUGCGGCAGAGAAACCAGGAGGUGGUAAGCACUUGGAAGCCUUUGUGAUCAAUGCAUGAUGCAUAUGAUGCAUGAUAUGCAAAUGCAAAUGCGAAAGACUUAUUUUUUUUCAUCGAAGGAUUUUUAAACAAAUUAGAAAUCUUGCAAAUAAACAAAACUACAUAGUAUUCUCAACAGAAAGACUUUGAAAUAAACACAUGAAGCCCUCAAGCAUAGGAAGUAGUCGGAGGAUCAUCGGACUCGGAAUCUGAAUCACAGUAUCUGGUAAAGAAAUCUCGUCGUCCUCGAGCUCUCUUGGAAUCCCUCAUAAGCAGCUCAUCUUUCUCUUCCAAUUCCCUCCGGGCCUUAGCUAGCUCUUUCUUCAACAUUAGAUUCUCAUGAGUCUUCUGCUCAUCUCUACCAUCCAAAGUCAUGAUUAGAUUCUCGGCUUGAUUGUACCGAGCUUUCCACACUUGCUUCUCACGACUCUCCAUAGCUAGAUGCUCCUGAUACAUAUCCUGAGUCGCGGGGAGUAGAGGUAGAGGCAUAGAUGGAGUAGAUGAAGACACGUAUCUCAUAGCUGGAUAAGGCAUACCAAUCUCCUUAGCCCGAUCUAUUACCCACUGAGUAUAGGCUUCAUGAGCGACACCGGAUCUCACACCUAGAUGCUUCACACUUUUCCUUCGAACCUUGGACCAAGCAUCCACGAAAGCUUUCCUUUGUCCGGUAGGAGCAUUCGCAUAGAAGAAGAACUCUGGAGAUGUGGCAAGAUUGAUGGGCUUCGACUUCAUAGGAAAACCAAACUGUCUCAUAGCAAGCUCGGGGUUAUAGUUAAUUCCUCCACGAGUACCAAGAAGAGGUACGUUGAGAAAGUCUCCACAACCCAUGAUGAUUUCCUUCACCUGAGCGGCCGGAGUGAGCCAGACGACCUCGUCAGGAGUGAGGGCCAUAAUCCGCUGAGAGUAGGACCAAUUUUCCGAGUUGUCAUGGAAGGAACUCGGAAGGUGCGAAAUAAACCACCUAUACAAAAGAGAUGUGCAGCAAAGAAUAUACCCACGGCCCUUGAGAGUCCUGUCAUGAAUGGCGUGGUAGGUAUCCGCUAGCAAAGUAGGAACCGGGUUCUUGGAAUGAAAGAUCUCGAUAGCGUUCAUGUCCACGAAGUUGUCGAGGUUCGGAAAGAGAAUGAGCCCGUAGAUAAGCAAAGCAAGAAUAGCCUCGAGUGUGUCCUGACGAGUAGUACCGAGAUUAGCCUGAUCAAGAAGAUACUUCGAAGUGAAACCCCGGAUGUGAGACUUGGUAAUAAGAUGGUUGGAGACGUCGGAAGUCUUGAGGUAGAGAUCCUUAGCAAUAAUCAGAGGAGUAAGAGAAGUCCCGGGACCGGUGAAAGGCGUUUUCUCGGCUAUAGGUAAACCCACUAGAUUGGAGUAAGCCUCGAGAGUAGGAACCAACUGGAAGUCCGGGAAAGUGAAGCAACGGAAGCUCGGAUCAUAAAAUUGCACCAGAGUGUGCACUAGCUUCUCGUCUACAUCGGUUCGGAGCAAAGUAAGCAAUCCCCCAUACCGGAGUCGGAACCCUGUUUGACUCUUGACCUUGAGUGCCAACUCUCUCAAACUAACCAAAUCCACUUCCUUGAACUUGUAGCACUUUGUCUUCUUCAUACCUGUGAUUAUUUACAAAAAUUUCCAUUUGUUUAAACCCUUCGAUGAAUGCAUGAAAAAUGUUUAUGCAUGAAUGCAUGUAUGCAUGAUUGUGUUGUUUAGUUACAAUGUGGGUUGAGAUUCAAAGUAACAGGGCCACGGAUGGACACGGCGUCCGGUGAACUAAGGCUUUGGAUAGUAGUAACCAAGGUUCUAACACAGUUCCCAAACUGCAGCCUCUCUCACAUAUAUCAUGGUAGUACAGGACGACACCCGUUCCAUGAUUAUUUGUGAGAAGGUCUAGUUUGAGUGUAGUAUCGCGUGACGACUAAAGUUUGAGACAACACUCAAUUUAGCCACCGCACUACGUCCUAAAAAGGCUAGGAUGGGUUUGGUAACUACGGUUCAUAGCUUCGUCGAACAAUUGAAAGUGAAGUGCCUAAGCAUGACAACACACGCCGACAAUAUCACCUUCAAAAUGCCUCAGCUAUGUGAGAUUGAUCGCAUAAUCCAAUACACGAGGAAACCCCCGGAUCGAAUUGUCGAUUAUAUCUCUACCUAAACAUAAGUUCACUCAGCCCGGGUAUAGGACUUUUGAUAUUCUCACCCCACACGUCAAAUGAAAAUAAACAAGUAUCCACAUAUGUAAGCAAUAAAACAAAACGUAAAUAUAAACUAAGGAAAACUAGGCGCGACCCGCUAAAAAAAGAUCCCCAGUGAAGUCGCCAUUUCUGUUAUCAAGGUUUUUGGGUGCCAAGCCAUUAAUUGGACUUGAACCUUUUGACCGUUGAUAUCCCUCUUUUUUCUUGGGAAGGGUAAAAGGAGAAAAACCCUUGAGUUUCCGGAUUCGGGGGUCGUUUUCGCUACGGGAAGGUGUUAGGCACCCGGAGCGAUUAUGGUAUUCCAUAAGAACCGCUUUCCUAAGUUUAUUUCUACGUGUUAUACCCUGUUUUUGGACCUAAAAAUACUGGGCCCAAUUUCAUUUCAAACUUUGUCAAUUAUCAAAUUUCAACUGCACAGUUCAAAUUGUCUCUGCCUCGCAGUAUUUUCAAUCACAAUUUUACCUAUGUUUUUCUUGCAUAAAACCUUUCGAAAUGUCUUUACUUGUCUUGUAAGUCAUUCAAAAGUGUCUCUGAAUCAUUACAUUGCUUUUUCUACAGUUUAUUUCAAAAUUUGCAAAAAGUCGUACAGAAGGGUAUUUUGGUCAUUUCCUGCAGUGGGACCCAUUUUCAUCCUUGUGACUGUCUCUGAGUCUUUUCAGAUUGAUUUUUAACAUUUCAUCAGUAAACCUUGUUAAAUUCAUUUCAAACUUGCAUCUGAGUCAGUGUCAAGUCAAUUUGAAUCUGUUUAGGUCAUUUUUAGCCCUAGGGGCAUUUUGGUCAUUUCACACAAAAUUUCGGCAUAGAGAGGUUACUUUGAAGUACCUCAUUUAAGCCAUUGGUUCGUUUUAGUCCGUUUUGUCAGUUUUAUUUUUGUUUCACUUUACGUUUGGUCAAAUUACGUUUUUUAUUCAAAUUUUAUUUUUUAUUGCAUUUUGGUCCCUCAAUUGAGGUCCCAAAAUUGCAUUUUUGUCCAAACUGUUUUUUAUUUUAUUUUAUUUCAUUUCAAGCUUUUUUAAUUUUGCAGUUUAGUCCUCAAUUUCUUUGUUUUUGCAGAAAGGUCCAGAAUCCAUUUUAAGUCCAAGCCGUGCCAUCUUCAUACAAAUCCAGGUGUCACUAUCCUAUUGGUUCCAAUGCACACAUGUCAGCUAUAAAAGCAUUGAGUCAGAAUCAGAAGCAUAUGAUUACACGCCAACUCAUAAACACAAAUACAAUUUUCUUUUUCUCAGCAACUGAAUCAAAACAGGAAAAUUUCUCAGAUUCAUCAAGAACACCAAGAACAAAAACCCUAACCGUUUUUCCAGAAAGCAAGAAUCAUCAAAAUUCGUUGGAUUUUCCAUUGAUUCUCAGAGAUUCCUUAGGAAUCAUCAUCAUUGAAUCAUCUCCUUCGCAAUUCAAGGCACGGAUUCACUGCAGAAGCAGCAAAUUCCAGUACCGAUCACGAAGAAGGUUCAGCGAGAAGAAGAGGGAAAGAAACAAGGUUCUAAACCGGCGAAGAAGAUGAAGAAACAGAACCGGUGAAUCACCGAUUUAUUUUCGGUCCAAAGAACAAGCAGAAGCAUCAAAAAUCAGCAAGAACAGAAUCAAGUUUUCUGAAGAAUCUCACAAAAUCUCCAAUCAAAAAUUUCAGGUAAAACUCAGAAUCUUUUUUAAAAAAGUAUAAUAUCACAGUUGAACCUGUAAAAACAUGCAAGCGACACAGAUCUAAGAUUUCCAGAAUUCAAAAGCGAAGCCGUAACCGUAAACACAAAACCUAGAUCCAUAAGGAUCUAAGUUUUGAAAGCAAGAACGAAUACCAGAAAAGUAAUCAAGCGACGAAACGAUGUAGAUCUUUAAAGAUCUAAAUGUUUUUGUUCAAAAAUCAAAGAAAACAUUCAAGACCGUAUGAAAUUUCCUAGAUCUGCGUCGUUUCAAGCUGUUUUUGAAAAGAUAAUUGCCAGAUUCUUGAUUAGGGUUUAAAAACGAAUGGAUUGGUGAAGAAAUUUUGGCAUUCUGGAAAUUUUAGGUCACCGGAGUUCAUGAACUCGCCGGAGAAGAUGAAGCUUCCGGCGGACCUUCAAGGUCUCCGCCGUGGCUUCAUCCUCACCGGCGGUGAGGGUUAGAGAGAGGCGAGAGAAGCGGUGAAGCUUAGAGAGAGAAAGAGAUGGAAGAAAUGGACUGGACCGGCGUCUACGUCCUUAUAUAGACGUUUGAACCGGUCCGGUUUAUUUUGCUUCCAUUUUGAACCGUAGGAUCUAGGGUUUCUUUUGUUGAAUGGCUGUGAUGCGUUGUUACUGUAUGCUUGAUUUACGUUACCAUGCGCUGCGUGUUUUGAACCGUUAGAUCUGGAUCCGGAUCAAUCCAACGCCUCUGAGGCCUUUGGAUGAUCCAGGUCCAGUCUGUUUUGGGUUUUGGUUUGGGCCUCAGUUUUCUUUCACGUUUUUUUUUGCUUUUUUUACUAUUUGCACUGUUUUUUUUUGCUACCUGCACCUAUGUCUUGAUUAAAAUUGUGAUAAAUUUCCUAGAAAAAUUCAUACAUGUUUCUUGAUAUUUUCUUAGUGUUUUUAUGACAUUUUUGCACAUUAAGGAUCUAUGAAAUUUUUGUAUAAUUAAUUCAUAGCAUUUUAAUUCUCUUUGAAUUAUUUGUUAUGGAUUCUUCUUCACACAUUUGUCCUUGAUGUGAGAAUAUGUAAUAAAAGCUACUUGACGUGUUAAUAUGAGAGAUUUGUGCCUAUAAUUUCAUGUUGAUUUGCUGUUUUGAUUUGGUUCAUAAGUUCUUGAUUUUAUGAACAAUAUAUGCAUAUUUUGAAAGAUAUAAAAUGCCAAGUUUAUUCUAGAAAAUAUGGCAUGAAACCAUGCUUGCAUGUUUCCAAUAAUUCCAUGCUAUAACUUGAGAUAAAGAAAACUCUUUCAAAAUUUGUUAAAGCAUGAGAAUUAGAGGCCAAGAAUGCUUUAGGUUUCAUACCUAAGCUUUUAGGGUUUAAUGUCAUUUUGUUAACUUUUUGUGCCAUCUUGCAUGCUUUUAUUUCUUAGUACUUGUUAUGUUUUUUUUUUUCACUAACAAGUUUACGUUGGUACUUCAUACAUAUCAUUUAGCAUUCCCUCCACUUUCUUUAGCCUAGCAUUUAUCUUUUGCAAGUUUUAAUUCAUUUGGUAAUGUAAUUUGUUAUCAUUGGUUUGUAGCUUGGCAAAGGGGCCAUAGAAUGUAUUUAGGCAAUUUUUGUAAUAUGGACUAUGGACACUAUGAUGCACCGACACGCACACACUCACCUUAGAUGUAUGCAUAGGAUUGUAUGGUUAAAUAAGCGUUUAGGUUUUAAACACUUAGAGAAAAUCCAUCUUUUUUUUCAAAAAAAACAAUUGAACUUCACUUCAAAAAUUUUCAUAAUAAAUAUGAAGUCAACACUUCAUUUUUUUUUCCUUUCUUUUUUUUUCUUAAGAAAAAUUCAAUUCAUCUUAAUCAUUUAGACUUUCUUUUCAAUCACCAAUCAAACCUCACUUUUUUGCUAAAACUCAUGCUCAUGAAGCCUCCCAAUCUCCUUCUUCAAAACCAUUUUCAAAACUAAAAAUCAAACAAUUAAAACGAAAAAACAAGUCUUUUUAGCAAGAACUACGCCGGUUUUGAUCCUGUAAAACGGUACGUAGGCAAUGAGUCAAAACUCAUCCAAGCCGAAAUAAAAAAACAAAUUCUACUUCUUCUCACCCCCAUUCUUCACUAAUCAUACUUUCUUUUUUACAAAUAAGCAAUAAAACUAAAGCGUAGAAAUAAACUUAGGAAAGCGGUUCUUAUGGAAUACCAUAAUCGCUCCGGGUGCCUAACACCUUCCCGUAGCGAAAACGACCCCCGAACUUAGAAUCUAAGGGUUUUUUCUCAAUUUUGCCCUUCCCAAGAAAAAAUAGAGAUAUCAACGGUCGAAAGGUUCAAGUCCAAUUAAUGGCUUGGCACCCAAAAACCAUGAUAACGGAAAUGGCGACUUCACUGGGGAUUGUUUUUAGCGGGUCGCGCCUAGUUUUCCUUAGUUUAUAUUUACGCUUUGUUUUAUUGCUUACAUAUGUGAAUACUUGUUUAUUUUCAUUUGACGUGUGGGGUGAGAAUAUCAAAAGUCCUAUACCCGGGCUGAGUGAACUUAUGUUUAGGUAGAGAUAUAAUCGACAAUUCGAUCCGGGGGUUGCCUCGUGUAUUGGAUUAUGCGAUCAAUCUCACAUAGCUGAGGCAUUUUGAAGGUGAUAUUGUCGGCGUGUGUUGUCAUGCUUAGGCACUUCACUUUCAAUUGUUCGACGAAGCUAUGAACCGUAGUUACCAAACCCAUCCUAGCCUUUUUAGGACGUAGUGCGGUGGCUAAAUUGAGUGUUGUCUCAAACUUUAGUCGUCACGCGAUACUACACUCAAACUAGACCUUCUCACAAAUAAUCAUGGAACGGGUGUCGUCCUGUACUACCAUGAUAUAUGUGAGAGAGGUUGCAGUUUGGGAACUAUGUUAGAACCGUGGUUACUAUUAUCUAAAGCCUUAGUUCACCGGACGCCGUGUCCAUCCGUGGUCUUGUUACUUUGAAUCUCAACCCACAUUGUAACUAAACAACACAAUCAUGCAUACAUGCAUUCAUGCAUAAACAUUUUUCAUGCAUUCAUCGAAGGGUUUAAACAAAUGGAAAUUUUUGUAAAUAAUCACAGGUAUGAAGAAGACUAAGUGCUACAAGUUCAAGGAAGUGGAUUUGGUUAGUUUAAGAGAGUUGGCACUCAAGGUCAAGAGUCAAACAGGGUUCCGACUCCGAUAUGGGGGAUUGCUUACUUUGCUCCGAACCGAUGUGGACGAGAAGCUAGUGCACACUCUAGUUGCAUUUUAUGAUCCAAGCUUCCGUUGCUUCACUUUUCCGGACUUCCAGUUGGUUCCUACUCUCGAGGCUUACUCCAAUCUAGUGGGUUUACCUAUAGCCGAGAAGACGCCUUUCACCGGUCCCGGGACUUCUCUUACUCCUCUGGUUAUUGCUAAGGAUCUCUACCUCAAGACUUCCGACGUCUCCAACCAUCUUAUUACCAAGUCUCACAUCCGGGGGUUCACUUCAAAGUAUCUUCUUGAUCAAGCUAAUCUCAGUACUACUUGUCAGGAUACGCUCGAGGCUAUUCUUGCUUUGCUUAUCUACGGGCUCAUUCUCUUUCCGAACCUCGACAACUUCGUGGACAUGAAUGUUAUCGAGAUCUUCCAUUCCAAGAACCCGGUUCCUACUUUGCUAGCGGAUACCUACCACGCCAUUCAUGACAGGACUCUCAAGGGCCGUGGGUAUAUUCUUUGCUGCAUAUCUCUUUUGUAUAGGUGGUUUAUUUCGCACCUUCCGAGUUCCUUCCAUGAUAACUCGGAGAACUGGUCCUACUCGCAGCGGAUUAUGGCCCUCACUCCUAAUGAGGUCGUCUGGCUCACUCCUGCCGCUCAAGUGAAGGAAAUCAUUAUGGGUUGUGGAGACUUUCUCAAUGUACCUCUUCUUGGUACCCGUGGAGGAAUCAACUACAAUCCCGAGCUUGCUAUGAGACAGUUUGGUUUCCCUAUGAAGUCGAAGCCCAUCAAUCUUGCUACAUCUCCAGAGUUCUUCUUCUACACGAAUGCUCCUACCGGACAAAGGAAAGCUUUCAUGGAUGCUUGGUCCAAGGUUCGAAGGAAGAGUGUGAAGCAUCUAGGUGUGAGAUCCGGUGUUGCUCAUGAGGCCUAUACUCAGUGGGUGAUAGAUCGAGCUGAGGAGAUUGGUAUGCCUUAUCCAGCUAUGAGAUACGUGUCUUCAUCCACUCCGUCUAUGCCUCUACCUCUGCUUCCCGCAACUCAGGAUAUGUAUCAGGAGCAUCUAGCUAUGGAGAGUCGUGAGAAGCAAGUGUGGAAAGCUCGGUACAAUCAAGCCGAGAAUCUAAUCAUGACUUUGGAUGGUAGAGAUGAGCAGAAGACUCAUGAGAAUCUAAUGUUGAAGAAAGAACUAGCUAAGGCCCGGAAGGAAUUGGAAGAGAAAGACGAGCUGCUUAUGAGGGAUUCCAAGAGAGCCAGAGGACGACGAGACUUCUUUGCUAGAUACUGUGAUUCAGAUUCCGAGUCCGAUGAUCUUCCGACUACUUCCUAUGCUUGAGAGCUUCAUUUGUUUACCUUGUUGAAAAUGUUGUGUAAUUUUGUUUAUUUGCAAGAUUUCUAAUUUGUUUAAAAAUCCUUCGAUGAAAAAACAGGUCUUUUGCAUUUGCAUUUGCACAUCAUGCAUCAUAUGCAUCAUGCAUUGGUCACAAAGGCUUCCAAGUGCUCACUAGCUCCUGGUUUCUCUGCCGCAGUGUGAAAAGUGGCUCGUGCUCAGAGAGUUUACGAACCGGAUAGAACCAAUCAAACCAGAGAAUACAGAAGAAGGAAAAAGGCUAUGGAAGAAGAGAACACGCAGCUCCGUACCGAGUUAACUUCUCUGAGGGAAGAAUUGGCUAAGGUCAAUGACACCAUGACUGCUCUGCUAGCCGCCCAGGAACAAUCAUCCACCGGUUCACCAACAACGACAGCAGCAACAAGCUAGACCUACCUUUCCUCUGAUACCAAUGCUAUAUGCUGAGUUGCUCCCGACUCUACUUCUCAGAGGGCACUGCGCAAUCAGACAGGGGAAGCCUCCACCUGAUCCGUUACCUCCCAGGUUCCGGUCUGACCUCAAAUGUGAUUUCCAUCAAGGUGCUCUGGGUCAUGAUGUCGAAGGAUGCUAUGCUUUGAAAUACAUUGUGAAGAAGCUCAUUAACCAAGGAAAGUUGACUUUUGAGAACAACGUCCCUCAUGUCCUCGACAACCCUCUUCCAAAUCACGCUGCUGUGAACAUGAUUGAGGUAUAUGAGGAAGCUCCCGGACUUGACGUCCGUAAUGUUACAACUCCUCUGGUGCCACUACACAUCAAGUUAUGCCAAGCCUCUCUGUUUGACCAUGAUCAUGCCAAUUGCCAAGAAUGAUUCUGUAAUCCUUUGGGUUGCUGCGUUGUUUAAAAUGACAUCCAGAGCUUGAUGAACAACAAUUAUUUGACUGUCAGCGACGUCUGUGUGAUUGUGCCAGUCUUUCAUGAUCCGCCCGUCAAGAGCGUGCCUUCAAAAGAGAAUGUUGAGCCUCUAGUGAUAAGGCUGCCCGAACCAGUACCUUAUACUUCUACAAAGGCUAUUCCUUACAAGUACAAUGCCACAUGAAUCUUCUACAGUGCUGAGUUAUCAAUGCAAUUACUGAAGAGGCGACUGGAUGUAGUCCUAGGCCUAUGUUUGUUAUACCAGGAGGCAUUGCGAGAAAUUGUGAUGCCAUCAACAUUCAUUCAAUCAUGCAUGUUUCCGAAUAAUGUGUCUUGUUGCUUAAGUGUUUUGUUUUUCAAAAUAACCAUCCUCUCGCUCUGCCCGAAGCGAAAGUGAUAUUUCUGGAAGGGCGUGUUUGUUUCGGCAUCGCCGUUAUCAACAAAAAUCGUCGUUUCUUUCACGACUUUUAUUUUUUAGUGAUUUUUUUUUUCUUGGAAAUAAUGGUAAUACCAGAAAAAACCAAAACAUCUUUAUUUUUCUUAUCAAUUUCAAAGAACUGCAUAAAAGAAAAAAAAACCAUUUUCUAAAAUCAUUCAACCAUUCUAUGCAGUUUGAACCAUAAUAAACCCGUUGAACACAGUAAUCCUACGGUUCUUCCAAAUUUUGAAUUCCCUGUGUAUGAAGCCGAAGAUGAAGAGGAUGAUGAUAUACCAUAUGAGAUCACUCGAUUGCUUGAGCAAGAAUCAGCCUAUUGUAUGGAACGAUGAAUGCCAGGAAGCUUUUGAUAGCAUCAAGAAUUACCUGCUGGAACCACCUAUCCUUGUCCCUCCCGUGGAAGGAAGGCCUUUGAUUUUGUAUUUGUCAGUGUUUGAUGAAUCUGUGGGAUGCGUGCUUGGUCAACGAGAUGAGACUGGAAAGAAAGAACAUGCUAUCUACUAUCUGAGCAAGAAGUUCACCGACUGUGAAACUCGGUAUACAAUGCUUGAGAAGACUUGUUGUGCUCUAGCUUGGGCUGCCAAAAGCCUGCGUCAUUAUUUGGUGAAUCAUACAACUUGGUUGAUAUCCAGAAUGGAUCCGAUAAAGUAUAUCUUUGAGAAAGCUGUUGUUACUGGGAAGAUUGCACGCUGGCAGAUGCUUUUGUCUGAAUAUGAUAUUGUGUUCAAAACUCAAAAGGCAAUCAAAGGUAGCAUUCUUGCCGAUCAUCUUGCCUACCAACCUCUUGAUGAUUAUCAACCAAUUGAAUUCGACUUCCCCGAUGAAGAAAUCAUGUAUUUGAAAUCAAAAGACUGCGAAGAACCGUUGAUUAAUGAAGGUCCAGAUCCCAAUAGCAGGUGCGGUUUAGUCUUUGAUGGUGCUGUCAAUGCUUAUGGUAAAGGAAUUGGGGCAGUCAUUGUAUCCCCGCAGGGGCAUCACAUCCCUUUUACCGCCCGAAUUUUGUUCGAAUGUACCAACAAUAUGGCUGAGUAUGAAGCAUGUAUCUUUGGGAUCGAGGAAGCAAUUGACAUGAGAAUCAAACACCUCGACAUCUAUGGAGAUUCUGCGCUCGUCAUCAAUCAGAUAAAGGGUGAAUGGGAGACCCACCAUGCUAAGUUGAUUCCUUAUCGUGAUUAUGCGAGACGUCUUCUGACAUAUUUUACAAAGGUUGAGCUGCACCAUAUUCCUCGUGAUGAGAACCAAAUGGCUGACGCUCUUGCUACUCUAUCUUCCAUGUUUCGAGUGAACCAUUGGAAUGAUGUGCCAAUAAUCAAAGUGCAACGCCUUGAAAGACCUUCGCAUGUGUUUGCUAUUGAGGAUGUAAUUGAUCAGGCUGGUGAAAAUGUGGUUGACUAUAGACCCUGGUACUACGACAUCAAACAGUUCUUGCUGAGCCGUGAGUAUCCGCCGGGUGCUUCCAAACAAGACAAGAAGACCUUGAGAAGAUUGGCCGGUAGAUUCCUGUUAGAUGGAGAUAUUCUGUACAAGAGGAACUAUGACAUGGUACUGUUGAGGUGUGUUGAUGAACAUGAAGCAGAGCAGUUAAUGCAUGAUAUACAUGACGGUACCUUCGGGACCCAUGCUACAGGGCAUACUAUGUCAAGGAAGUUGUUGCGAGCAGGUUACUACUGGAUGACUAUGGAGCAUGAUUGCUACCAGUACGCCAGAAAAUGCCACAAAUGUCAAAUCUAUGCUGAUAAGAUUCAUGUGCCUCCGCACGCUCUCAAUGUUAUGUCAUCCCCAUGGCCGUUCUCGAUGUGGGGCAUCGACAUGAUUGGAAGAAUUGAACCGAAGGCUUCAAAUGGUCAUCGUUUCAUCUUAGUGGCAAUUGACUACUUUACCAAAUGGGUUGAAGCAGCAUCUUAUACCAAUGUGACCAAGCAAGUGGUAGCUAAGUUCAUCAAGAACAAUAUCAUCUGUCGAUAUGGUGUUCCCAGCAAGAUCAUUACCGACGAUGGUACCAACCUGAACAACAAUGUGGUGCAAGCUCUUUGUGAAGAAUUCAAAAUUGAGCAUCAUAACUCUUCUCCUUAUAGACCUCAGAUGAAUGGUGCAGUUGAGGCCGCCAACAAGAAUAUCAAGAGAAUUGUCCAGAAGAUGGUAACCACUUACAAGGACUGGCAUGAGAUGUUACCCUAUGCUCUGCAUGGCUACCGUACUACCGUGCGCAGUUCAACCGGGGCAACCCCUUUCUCUCUUGUAUAUGGUAUGGAAGCAGUUCUUCCUUUGGAAGUGGAGAUCCCAUCUCUCCGUGUGAUAAUGGAAGCAAAGUUAUCUGAGGCUGAAUGGUGCCAAAGCCGGUAUGAUCAGUUGAAUUUGAUUGAGGAAAAACGUAUGGAUGCCAUGGCUCGUGGACAGUCAUAUCAAGCAAGAAUGAAGACUGCCUUUGACAAGAAAGUCCGUCCUCGAGAAUUCAAGGUAGGGGAACUUGUAUUGAAAAGGAGGGUAAGCCAGCAACCCGACCCAAGGGGCAAGUGGACGCCUAACUAUGAAGGUCCUUAUGUUGUCAAGAAGGCCUUCUCUGGUGGUGCUCUAAUCCUUACACACAUGGAUGGUGUAGAACUUCCAAAUCCAGUGAAUGCCGAUAUAGUCAAGAAAUACUUUGCCUAGAAAUAUGAAAAGAACAACGUGGUAGGUCGAAAACCCGAAAGGGCGGCCUAGGCAAAAAUGCGCUUCCCGGUGGAUCGAAAACCCGAAAGGGCGGUCCAGGCAAAAAUAAGGGACAAAAAAAUAUAUAUGAAAAAGCUCGCUGAGAUUGCAGGCAACUCAGGCAAGAAUGAGCGUCUCGAUGGAUCGAAAACCCGGAAGGGCGGUUCAUGCAAAAAUGAGAUUGAAACAAAAGGCAAGUAACUAUAUCUGGCCAACCACCGUCCCCCUUGGGGCAUCUGCAGCUGUUAAUGACCGUCUUCAUCAAAAGCUCCUAUGCUUGCGAAUUCAAAGUUUCUAGGAAAUGUCAUGAUUACUGUGUUCAAUGUACCACCAACCAAUAAAAUUACCAUUUUCCAAGCUUUGUAAAUCCGUGGAAUCACGCCUUUGGCUGACCACCACUCUUAUACGUCAAUUUGAGCUUGUGCUUUUGUUUGAAAACUCUAUUUUCUUCUACUUUCAAAGCUAUAUACAAAUCAUUUUCCUUCUAUUUUGAUAAUGACAAUGCUUGAAACAAACAUUUUUGAAAAUUGAAAACUUUUUGUCUAUUUUGAAAAGCAAACCUGAGCAACAGGGUACAAUCAAAUGAAACAUGCAUGAGCGAGGGUAUGUGAAUGUCUAUUUCAAUAUAUGCUACAAGCAGGUUCUCCUUCAGGAUAGUCUGUGGUCAAUGGCAAGAAUGAAAAAACAGAAUGAAAAUGCAUGAAAAUAAAUGAGCUCGCUAAGUUGAAAACCCGGAAGGGCGGCUUAGGCAAAAAUGAGCACCCUGCUGGAUUGACAACCCGAAAGGGCAGUUCAGGCAAAAAUGGGGCAUUGAAAAGAAUUUAUUUCCCCGAUGGAUCGAAAACCCGAAAGGGCGAUCCAGGCAAAAAUGGGAUGAAAAAAAAAUGAUGAAUGAAAAUUGAGAAAAUAACAUGCAAAAAGCGUUGACCACAGAUACGAUGUCCACGAUACAUCCGGCAUUAUCCCCAGUAAAGUCUCUCAAGAUUCUAUCCCCAGCAAGUUGCAUACCUACCUGCCCUCAGCCAUGGUUCCAAUACGUCUCCCAACGACGUCGUCUCCAAAGAGGAUUUCCAAGAAUGUGUAAUAUAGCACGAGCCACUACGUGCCCAAUACUCUGAUGUCUUGUCUUCCCCGUGAAGUCGUGCCUACAAACUGCCAACAGUCAUGCAUUACAAGCAUUCAUACAUGCAUAAUCAUGCAUAUUACGUGCCCAUGCAUUUAAUGAAACUGUUAUAUCAUCCAUGAAUAUUGCAUUUCCAAUGUCAACAUCAGUCUCAAUUCAAUACUCAUGUCAGGUUCUCUGUCAAAACCUUGUAAGCCAAUAAUAUCAGUCAAUUUCUACCUUUCAAUUCGAAUCGACGUCAAGUCAAUCUCAAUCUAUAUUUUGUCAAAACCAAUCCCCAGUGAAUAUGUUUCUGUUUGGUCAAGUGACUAGUUCAAGUCCAAGAACAGCUUGUACCUAUCAAUUUGCUUAUGUUAUCGGUCGAGUGCCCAGCUCAAUCCAAGAGCAGCUUGUACCCGUCUAUCUGUUUCUGUUCGCUCAAGUGGCUAGCUCGAUCCAAGAGCAGCUUGCGCCUGUCUAUUUUGUAUUUGUCUCCGGUGGAGUAACCAGUUCGCAUCCAAGAACAAGCUCGCACCUGUCUAUUUGCCUUGCUUUCAGUCGAGUAACCAGUUCGAAUCCAUAAGAACAACUCGUACUUGCCAAUUUUCUCUUUUUCCCAGUCGGGUCACCAGUUCGAAUCCAUAAGAACAACUCGCACUUUCCAAUAUCCCCAAGUGAGUUACCAGUUCGAAUCCAUAAGAACAACUCAUAUUUGUCCAGUAACCUCUAUCCCCUGUGAAGUGACCAGUUCGAAUCCAUAAGAACAACUCGCAGUUGUCUGUUUGUUUCAUCCCCGGUCAAGUGGCUAGUUUGAAUCCAAGAACAGCUUGUACCUGUCCAACUUGUUUCUAGUUUCCCGUUACUCUGCUAUUCACUAUCUUUGUCAAUGUCUACCAAUCUCGCAAUGGAUACGACAUAUUUUGUUAAUUCCAAUCCCCAUGAGGUCUUGCAUUCAUAAUCCAAAUGAUGCAUGGCAUGCAUAUUAUUUGAAAAUGGGUAGGCGUAUUUUUACGUCCAAACACAGUGCAAAUGCUAAUAUUUAAGUAUCUUCGUCCUGUCAAGCCAAAGACUCCGUCUCUUGACUCUUCAGACAAAGAAACUUAAAUAGGGGCAGCUGUUAUACCCUGUUUUUGGACCUAAAAAUACUGGGCCCAAUUUCAUUUCAAACUUUGUCAAUUAUCAAAUUUCAACUGCACAGUUCAAAUUGUCUCUGCCUCGCAGUAUUUUCAAUCACAAUUUUACCUAUGUUUUUCUUGCAUAAAACCUUUCGAAAUGUCUUUACUUGUCUUGUAAGUCAUUCAAAAGUGUCUCUGAAUCAUUACAUUGCUUUUUCUACAGUUUAUUUCAAAAUUUGCAAAAAGUCGUACAGAAGGGUAUUUUGGUCAUUUCCUGCAGUGGGACCCAUUUUCAUCCUUGUGACUGUCUCUGAGUCUUUUCAGAUUGAUUUUUAACAUUUCAUCAGUAAACCUUGUUAAAUUCAUUUCAAACUUGCAUCUGAGUCAGUGUCAAGUCAAUUUGAAUCUGUUUAGGUCAUUUUUAGCCCUAGGGGCAUUUUGGUCAUUUCACACAAAAUUUCGGCAUAGAGAGGUUACUUUGAAGUACCUCAUUUAAGCCAUUGGUUCGUUUUAGUCCGUUUUGUCAGUUUUAUUUUUGUUUCACUUUACGUUUGGUCAAAUUACGUUUUUUAUUCAAAUUUUAUUUUUUAUUGCAUUUUGGUCCCUCAAUUGAGGUCCCAAAAUUGCAUUUUUGUCCAAACUGUUUUUUUUUUUAUUUUAUUUCAUUUCAAGCUUUUUUAAUUUUGCAGUUUAGUCCUCAAUUUCUUUGUUUUUGCAGAAAGGUCCAGAAUCCAUUUUAAGUCCAAGCCGUGCCAUCUUCAUACAAAUCCAGGUGUCACUAUCCUAUUGGUUCCAAUGCACACAUGUCAGCUAUAAAAGCAUUGAGUCAGAAUCAGAAGCAUAUGAUUACACGCCAACUCAUAAACACAAAUACAAUUUUCUUUUUCUCAGCAACUGAAUCAAAACAGGAAAAUUUCUCAGAUUCAUCAAGAACACCAAGAACAAAAACCCUAACCGUUUUUCCAGAAAGCAAGAAUCAUCAAAAUUCGUUGGAUUUUCCAUUGAUUCUCAGAGAUUCCUUAGGAAUCAUCAUCAUUGAAUCAUCUCCUUCGCAAUUCAAGGCACGGAUUCACUGCAGAAGCAGCAAAUUCCAGUACCGAUCACGAAGAAGGUUCAGCGAGAAGAAGAGGGAAAGAAACAAGGUUCUAAACCGGCGAAGAAGAUGAAGAAACAGAACCGGUGAAUCACCGAUUUAUUUUCGGUCCAAAGAACAAGCAGAAGCAUCAAAAAUCAGCAAGAACAGAAUCAAGUUUUCUGAAGAAUCUCACAAAAUCUCCAAUCAAAAAUUUCAGGUAAAACUCAGAAUCUUUUUUAAAAAAGUAUAAUAUCACAGUUGAACCUGUAAAAACAUGCAAGCGACACAGAUCUAAGAUUUCCAGAAUUCAAAAGCGAAGCCGUAACCGUAAACACAAAACCUAGAUCCAUAAGGAUCUAAGUUUUGAAAGCAAGAACGAAUACCAGAAAAGUAAUCAAGCGACGAAACGAUGUAGAUCUUUAAAGAUCUAAAUGUUUUUGUUCAAAAAUCAAAGAAAACAUUUCAAGACCGUAUGAAAUUUCCUAGAUCUGCGUCGUUUCAAGCUGUUUUUGAAAAGAUAAUUGCCAGAUUCUUGAUUAGGGUUUAAAAACGAAUGGAUUGGUGAAGAAAUUUUGGCAUUCUGGAAAUUUUAGGUCACCGGAGUUCAUGAACUCGCCGGAGAAGAUGAAGCUUCCGGCGGACCUUCAAGGUCUCCGCCGUGGCUUCAUCCUCACCGGCGGUGAGGGUUAGAGAGAGGCGAGAGAAGCGGUGAAGCUUAGAGAGAGAAAGAGAUGGAAGAAAUGGACUGGACCGGCGUCUACGUCCUUAUAUAGACGUUUGAACCGGUCCGGUUUAUUUUGCUUCCAUUUUGAACCGUAGGAUCUAGGGUUUCUUUUGUUGAAUGGCUGUGAUGCGUUGUUACUGUAUGCUUGAUUUACGUUACCAUGCGCUGCGUGUUUUGAACCGUUAGAUCUGGAUCCGGAUCAAUCCAACGCCUCUGAGGCCUUUGGAUGAUCCAGGUCCAGUCUGUUUUGGGUUUUGGUUUGGGCCUCAGUUUUCUUUCACGUUUUUUUUUGCUUUUUUUACUAUUUGCACUGUUUUUUUUUGCUACCUGCACCUAUGUCUUGAUUAAAAUUGUGAUAAAUUUCCUAGAAAAAUUCAUACAUGUUUCUUGAUAUUUUCUUAGUGUUUUUAUGACAUUUUUGCACAUUAAGGAUCUAUGAAAUUUUUGUAUAAUUAAUUCAUAGCAUUUUAAUUCUCUUUGAAUUAUUUGUUAUGGAUUCUUCUUCACACAUUUGUCCUUGAUGUGAGAAUAUGUAAUAAAAGCUACUUGACGUGUUAAUAUGAGAGAUUUGUGCCUAUAAUUUCAUGUUGAUUUGCUGUUUUGAUUUGGUUCAUAAGUUCUUGAUUUUAUGAACAAUAUAUGCAUAUUUUGAAAGAUAUAAAAUGCCAAGUUUAUUCUAGAAAAUAUGGCAUGAAACCAUGCUUGCAUGUUUCCAAUAAUUCCAUGCUAUAACUUGAGAUAAAGAAAACUCUUUCAAAAUUUGUUAAAGCAUGAGAAUUAGAGGCCAAGAAUGCUUUAGGUUUCAUACCUAAGCUUUUAGGGUUUAAUGUCAUUUUGUUAACUUUUUGUGCCAUCUUGCAUGCUUUUAUUUCUUAGUACUUGUUAUGUUUUUUUUUUUCACUAACAAGUUUACGUUGGUACUUCAUACAUAUCAUUUAGCAUUCCCUCCACUUUCUUUAGCCUAGCAUUUAUCUUUUGCAAGUUUUAAUUCAUUUGGUAAUGUAAUUUGUUAUCAUUGGUUUGUAGCUUGGCAAAGGGGCCAUAGAAUGUAUUUAGGCAAUUUUUGUAAUAUGGACUAUGGACACUAUGAUGCACCGACACGCACACACUCACCUUAGAUGUAUGCAUAGGAUUGUAUGGUUAAAUAAGCGUUUAGGUUUUAAACACUUAGAGAAAAUCCAUCUUUUUUUUCAAAAAAAACAAUUGAACUUCACUUCAAAAAUUUUCAUAAUAAAUAUGAAGUCAACACUUCAUUUUUUUUUCCUUUCUUUUUUUUUCUUAAGAAAAAUUCAAUUCAUCUUAAUCAUUUAGACUUUCUUUUCAAUCACCAAUCAAACCUCACUUUUUUGCUAAAACUCAUGCUCAUGAAGCCUCCCAAUCUCCUUCUUCAAAACCAUUUUCAAAACUAAAAAUCAAACAAUUAAAACGAAAAAACAAGUCUUUUUAGCAAGAACUACGCCGGUUUUGAUCCUGUAAAACGGUACGUAGGCAAUGAGUCAAAACUCAUCCAAGCCGAAAUAAAAAAACAAAUUCUACUUCUUCUCACCCCCAUUCUUCACUAAUCAUACUUUCUUUUUUACAAAUAAGCAAUAAAACUAAAGCGUAGAAAUAAACUUAGGAAAGCGGUUCUUAUGGAAUACCAUAAUCGCUCCGGGUGCCUAACACCUUCCCGUAGCGAAAACGACCCCCGAACUUAGAAUCUAAGGGUUUUUUCUCAAUUUUGCCCUUCCCAAGAAAAAAUAGAGAUAUCAACGGUCGAAAGGUUCAAGUCCAAUUAAUGGCUUGGCACCCAAAAACCAUGAUAACACUACGCUUUAAUUUUAUUGCUUAUUUGUAAAAAAGGAAGGUGUGAUUAGUUAAGAAUGGAGGUGAGAAGAAGUAGAAUUUGAUUUUUAUUUCGGCUUGGAUGAGUUUUGACUCAUUGCCUACGUACCGUUUUACGGGAUCAAAACCGGCGUAGUUCUUGCUAAAAAGACUUGUUUUUUUGUUUUAAUUGUUUGAUUUUAAGUUUUGAAAAUGGUUUUGAAGAAGGAGAUUGGGAGGCUUCAUGAGCAUUAGAUUUAGCAAAAAAGUGAGGUUUGAUUAGUGAUUAAAAAGAAAGUCUAAAUGAUUAAGAUGAAUUGAAUUUUUCUUAAGAAAAAAGAAAGGAAAAAAAAAAUGAAGUGUUGACUUCAUAUUUAUUAUGAAAUUUUUUUGAAGUGAAGUUCAAUUGUUUUUUUUUUAAAAAAGGAUGGAUUUUCUCUAAGUGUUUAAACCUAAACGCUUAUCUAACCAUACAAUCCUAUGCAUACAUCUAAGGUGAGUGUGUGCGUGUCGGUGCGUCAUAGUGUCCAUAGUCCAUAUUACAAAAAUUGCCUAAAUACAUUCUAUGGCCCCUUUGCCAAGCUACAAACCAAUGAUAACAAAUUACAUCACCAAAUGAGUUAAAACUUGCAAAGAGAAUAAAUGCUAAGCUAAAGAAAGUGGAAGAGAUAGUGGGAUGCUAUGAAAUGUAUGUCACAUGAGAUGAAAUGGUUAGUAAUCAUAAAGCAUGAAAUAGUAAGAAAUAAAUAAAAAGAGAUUGUAUAAGAAUAGCAAAAAAAGAAGUAAUAAAGUGGUAAAAACCUAUAAAAAAUUUGAUAUGAUACCUAAAUGUGCUUGUGACCCAUAAUCAUCACAUCAUGGCAAUUUUGAAAGAGAUUUAGUUUCAAGCCAUGAUGUGGAAUUAAUAGAGACACAUGCAAGCAAAGUAUCACACCAAAUUCAUAGAGGAAUUUGACACUUUAUCCCUUAAAACACACACUUGUUGCUUGCAAAACAAGAAAUUUACAAAAUCAUAUCCAAAAACCAGCAAGAAAGCACAUGACCAGAGACAUAUUCAUCACAAGAUUGGGUAUCAUUUAUUCAUGUCACACAUCAAAGUGUCAAGAACAAAAACAUAACCAAAAUAAUACCCAAAAAUGUAAACACACAUGGAAAUUAAUUCAUGCCAUUUUACCAUUUUUUUUAUGCAAAAACACCAUAGAAAUACCAAAAAUAUAUCAAGAAACAAUCUAGGAUUUUUUUAGGAAUUUUUUUGUAAAAAAAGUGAGCAAGCAACAGGUGCAGAUAGCAAAGACAUAUGGUGCAGAUAGCAGGAAAAUAACAAAAAAACGUAAAAACCUAAGCCCAAACCAAAGCCCAAUACACAAAACUCAGAUUGCACAGGAGACGUUGGAUUGAUCUAGAGGCUGAGAAAGAAAGGAAAAAACCGAAAAUAAACCGGACCGGUUCAAAGCUCUAUAUAUAUGCUUCAAGUCCGGUUUUUUUCAUUUCUUUCUUUUCCUUCUCUCUCUUCUCCCCUCUAGUGAGAGAAGCUCUCACUUCUCUCUAAGAUUCCGGUCAUCUUCUCCGGCUAACUCCUCCGUUCCGGCGCGGCGGAUGGCGGCGGCGCCACCGUGCCGGAAAAUCAAACUGCUCCGAUUCGAGAAAUUUUUACAUUUUUAGAUAUCCUUUUUUAUAUACUUCUCGAAUCCGAACUUAGAUUUUUUUCGAAAAAAGCUUGAAUCGGAGUAGAUCUGAGUUUGAAUCUUGACAAAAAAACUUAAGAAAACGGAAAGGAAAAGUGGGAGAACGACGGCGGUUACCUCACGAUUGCGAUGACUCUUGGCCUGGCGUUGUUGCUUCGUGUUUGUGUUUCUGUUGUUUCGCGUUCUGCUGCUGUGCUUCGUGUGCUUGCUUGCGUGUUUGCUCGCUCGCGCUUGCUUGCUCACGUUUGCUUGCUCUUUUGCUUGCUGUUUUUGCUUGCUGUUUUUCGGUUUCUUCUUCUUCCUUGCAGAUUCGGUUCCUUCUUCUUCUCCCACCGUGAUCGGUGCUUGAGUUCUUCACUUCCGGUGAGGAAUUCGCACCUUGUAUUGCGGUGGAAUCGAUUCGAUGAUGAAGAUUCGUACACGAAUCUCUGAGAAUUGAUGAUGAAUUUCGGUUAGGGUUCUUUUUUGUUCUUGAGAAAUUUCUGUUUUUGAUCUAACAGAAAAGAGAGAGAAAAUGGGAAUUUGUUUUUGGUGAUGUGUAUUGUAAUGAGUGGAUCUGAUCUAUGUGGCACUGUGAACAGUAUUUAUAGCUGACAUGUGUGAGUGAUUGGACCAUUAGAAAGCUGACAUGUGGCAUUGGAAAAAAAAAAAGGCGCUGCCCUGUAAUUUUUGACUUGAAGGACCUGUUUGCAAUUUUGAAAGAAAUAGGGACUGGACUGAAAAAAUAAAAGUAAGGACUGAAAUGAAAUUAAAAAACUUUUUGGACAAAAAUGCAAUUUUGGAACCUCAAUUGAGGGACCAAAAUGUAAUUGAAAUAAAAUUGAAUAAAAAACGCAAUUUGACCAAACGUAAAGCGAAACAAAAGUAAAAUUGACAAAACGGACUAAAACGAACCAAUGGCCUAAAUGAGGUACUUCAAAGUAACCUCUCUAUGCCAAAAUUUUGUGUGAAAUGACCAAAAUGCCCCUAGGGCUAAAAAUGACCUAAACUGACUCAAACAGACUUGACACUGACUCAGAUGCAAGUUUGAAAUGAAUUUAACAAGAUUUACUGAUGAAAUGUUAAAAUCAAUCUGAAAAGACUCAGAGACAGUCGCAAGGAUGAAAAUGGGUCCCACUGCAGGAAAUGACCAAAAUACCCUUCUGUACGACUUUUUGCAAAUUUUGAAAUAAACUGUAGAAGAAAGCAAUGCAAUGAUUCAGAGACAUUUUUGAAUGACUUACAAGACAAGUAGAGACAUUUUGAAAGGUUUUAUGCAAGAAAAACAUAGGUAAAAUUGUGAUUGAAAAUACUGCGAAGCAGGGACAAUUUGAACUGUGCAGUUGAAAUUUGAUGAUUGACAAAGUUUGAAAUGAAAUUGGGCCCAGUAUUUUUAGGUCCAAAAACAGGGUAUAACAGAAACCAAAGGAGAAAACUUUUAGGGUAUGUAGAUACUAAAGGUUGAGGGUCUUUGGGUGAGGUUCAAAGCUUCAAGAUGUGGAUCAUGGAUAACCAAAAGAGGGGGCUCUUGGGAAAAAGGUUGGUGCCUUUUGGGGAAGAUUCAUGGGAUGGGAAACACAUGAGUGGAGAGUCUAUUGAGAGCAACUUGGGUGAGCUUGUUGAAGCUAAUUUCUUGUAACUAAUUUUGUAUCUCUUUGUAAGAACUCAUUAUAGUGGAUUGGAGAGAUCAAUCUCUCCUCCAGAGUAGGUCAUUGUUGGACCGAACUGGAUGAACAUUUCUUGGUGUUGUUAUCUUUUCUCUACUCUUUUUAUCUUGUUUAUCUUUUGGUUAGAUUGUGGUUUUGCUAUGCACUUGUUUUCUAGACUAGAUCUAGAUUGUUGUUAUUGCUUGUGGUAAUUUACAUUUGGUUAUUGGUUGCCAUUGAUACUUGCUCCACGAAUCUAAAUUUCAUUGAUGUGAGGUUUGAAUUUGAGUCCGAAUUCACAACAUACAUGAUGUGGGAUAAUUCUUAGUCCAUAUUUUAGUUGUUUGCAUGGAGUUGAUAUGGAAAUGGAUUCCCAGAAAUAACAGCACCAAUCUAGUCCAUCCGAUUUAAAUCCAUAGCUGAGAUGGAUGGAAACUAAAUUAGUGAAUCUGUAAUCUGAACCAUCCUAUCAGAGAUUAACAACUGCGUAAAACUGUGGACUUUAAAUGUAUGGAAUCCAGGUCCAGUCGAUACUACUACUGUUGAAAGCACAACUUAAAGCAAAUGCGAGAUUCAAAUAAUAUGUCAUUUGAUGAUAUUUGAAAUGCAAAAUGUAUCUUAGUGGUGUAAUGGAGCUUCAUUUUAUUUAUUUUUACAUCGAUACGGUAGUAAAUGGGUUUAAGUAACAUGUGAAUGGGGUAUUUAACAUGUGGUUACAAAUUAUUUGAGAGGAUUUGAGAAACAGUAAUUUAUGAAUUUGAUAAUCUAUGUGGUUAAAGCUUAAUGAAGAAUCUACAAGAGGUGAGUCAAACUCCAAAUAUAAUACAAAAAUGUUACUAAUAAACACAAGAGUGAGUUAAAAAGUCUGUUAAAAUUGAUGCUUAGGAUUCAACUAGAUAGGCUCCUUAUAGGUUAUAGCAUUCUACCCAAUUUAAGGAGACAAAAAAAUUUACCUGUUUUUUUUUAGUUUUCUUUUUCUUCUUUUAAGACAUUCAUUGCUUUACUGAAAUUACAUGGAAGAAGGAUGAGAUGGUUACUUUACAUAAGAUAGGAAAUGGGAAAGAAGUUUCCAACUUGGAAAAAGUGUAAAAAAUAAAUAAAAGCAUGUGAUAAAAUUGGGGACAUAAUAUGAGAGAAAAUAAAUGAAAUGCAAAUCUACAUGGAAGAUGAGAAGGAAUUUCAGACAUGGUGGUAAAAUGUAAAGCCAAACUUGAGAAAAUAAAUGUUAAGUAACCUAAUCUUGUUAAAAUGAAAAUACGAUCAGAACUUUUUGAUGCAUUCAUUACCAACUUUCUUUAAUUAGAUGUUUGAAUGGAAGAGCUUGCAUUUAUUUUAAUUUCAUGUAGUUUAACACACUGAUUAAUUAAGUAACAAAGUGAAAAAUUACAUGCAACAGAAGAGUAAAAGUAGUUGAAAACUAAAUCAUGUUAAAAGUCUUGUACACUUAUAUUUAUUGUAUGAUUGGUCCACACGGCUAUAGGAAGUGGCCAGGAAGUGGUUAUAAAGUUAGUGAUCAAAGAUUUCACAUCAGUCAUCACAGACCACAAAAACUUACUCAUUCAUAUUCUGCAUUCUCAAACUCUUUUUUUUUUCAUCCAAUUUCUCACAAUUUUCAUGGCUAUGCAGUCUCCUUCCUCAUCCUCUUCAUUUUCUUAUGGAUUCACUUACCAAGUGUUCCUCAGUUUUAGGGGCACUGACACUCGGUACGGUUUUACGGGCAAUCUCUACAAGGCUCUUAUUGACAAGGGAAUCCAUACCUUCAUUGAUGACAAUGAUCUUCAAAGAGGAGAUGAAAUCACACCAUCACUCAUCAAGGCCAUUGAAGAAUCUAGAAUUUUUAUUCCUGUGUUUUCUAUCAACUAUGCCUCUUCAAAAUUUUGCUUGGACGAACUUGUUCACAUUAUUCAUUGCUAUAAGACAAAGGGUCGCCUCGUCUUGCCUAUUUUCUUUGGUGUGGAUCCUACUAAUGUGCGCCAUCAUACAUGUAGCUAUGGUGAAGCAUUGGCUGAGCAUGAAAAAAGGUUUCAAAAUGAUAAGGAUAACAUGGAGAGGUUGGAGCGAUGGAAAGUGGCUCUGAGCCAGGCUGCUAACUUGUCCGGCUACCAUGAUAGUCCUCCUCGGUACCCAACUUUACUUAAAUCCUAUUUUUCCCUUUUAUAUUUUAUUUCUUCAACUUCAAUUUCCCAAUAAUCUCAUCUUAAAGGUUAAAUGGGAAAUACCUUUCUUAUAUACGUUUUUAAACAAGUAUUAGUUAUUUAUAUGUUGAAAUAGUUAGAAAUGUAUAAUAUAUUAUGAGUACAUGGAUGUGAUUGUGAUGUUGUUAGUACAUACUAACUUAUCUUGUUGGACAUGAAUAGAUAUGAAUACAAGUUGAUUGGAGAGAUAGUCAAAUACAUCUCCAACAAGAUCAAUCGUCAGCCCUUACAUGUUGCUAAUUACCCUGUUGGAUUGCACUCUCGAGUACAAGAAGUGAAAUCGCUUCUUGAUGAGGGACCUGAUGAUGGGGUCCAUAUGGUUGGAAUUUAUGGGAUUGGAGGCUUGGGUAAAUCAGCACUUGCAAGAGCAAUCUAUAAUUUUGUUGCUGAUCAAUUUGAAGGUUUAUGUUUUCUUCAUGAUGUGAGAGAGAAUUCAGCUCAAAAUAACUUGAAACAUCUCCAAGAGAAGCUUCUUCUAAAAACAACUGGAUUGAAAAUCAAGUUAGAUCAUGUUUGUGAGGGGAUUCCAAUUAUAAAGGAAAGACUGUGUAGAAAUAAGAUUCUUUUGAUUCUCGAUGAUGUUGACGAUAUGGAGCAACUACAUGCUUUGGCUGGAGGACCUGAUUGGUUUGGCCAUGGAAGCAGGGUCAUCAUUACCACUCGAGACAAACAUUUACUGACCAGUCAUGAUAUAGAAAGAACAUAUGCAGUAGAGGGGUUGUAUGGGACAGAAGCUCUUGAAUUGUUGAGGUGGAUGGCUUUUAAAAAUAACAAAGUACCUUCAAGUUAUGAAGACAUUUUAAAUCGUGCAGUUUCAUAUGCUUCAGGUCUUCCCUUAGUUUUAGAGAUAGUGGGUUCCAACUUGUUUGGAAAGAGCAUAAAAGAAUGGAAGGGUACAUUAGAUGGAUAUGAAAAGAUUCCCAAUAAAAAGAUCCACGAGAUACUUAAAGUAAGCUAUGAUGCUUUGGAGGAAGAGCAGCAGAGUGUCUUUCUAGACAUUGCUUGUUGCUUCAAAGGAUGUGGAUGGGAGGAGUUUGAAGAUAUACUUCAUGUUCAUUAUGGCCAUUGCAUAACACAUCAUCUAGGAGUGUUGGCUGAAAAAUCUCUCAUUAAGAUUAGUACUUGUUACCAUUCGGGAUCUAUUGAUGUUGUAAGAGUACAUGACUUGAUAAAGGACAUGGGUAAAGAAGUCGUCCGACAAGAAUCACCUAAAGAUCCUGAAAAACGAAGUAGGUUAUGGCGUCAUGAAGAUAUAGUUCAUGUUAUAAAAGAAAACAUUGUGAGUAAGAUUGAUAUUUAUGUUCAAUUUGUUAUUUAGUUUAGAUACGACUUUGCAUUUUUAGGACUACAUAUGACCAUCUCAUACUAGUAUUUUUUUUUCACUUAAUUACAUAUAAAUUUCUCUAUAUCUUAUUGUUAUUGUGAUUGAUUAUGUUAUUUUUUUUUUUUUUUGUGUUAAAAGGGAACUAGUAAAAUUGAAAUGAUAAAUAUGAAUUUCCACUCCAUGGAAUCCGUAAUAGACCAGAAAGGAAAGGCCUUCAAAAAGAUGACAAAACUGAGAACACUUAUCAUUGAAAAUGGACAUUUUUCUGAAGGUCUCAAGUAUCUUCCAAGCAGUUUGAUAGUAUUGAAAUGGAAAGGAUGUUUAUCGGAGUCUCUAUCAUCUAGUAUUUUAAGCAAGGCAAGUGAAAUAACUUCAUUUUAUAAAAGUAUAUAUUUGUAAAUUUAUUAUGAUUUUGUUUCUGUCAACAAAAACAAUUCACUAUGAGAGUAUUGUGUUUGGUUUUGAAUUUAUUUAUUUGUUUCUUCCUUGUGUUUAUGCAGAAUUUCCAAAAUAUGAAAGUCUUGACAUUGGACGAUAAUGAAUAUUUAACCCACAUACCUGAUCUCUCAGGUCUUCAAAAUUUAGAAAAGUUCUCGUUUAAAUAUUGUGAGAAUUUAAUUACAAUUGACAAUUCGAUUGGACACCUAAAUAAACUUGAAAGGUUAAGUGCAUUUGGUUGCAGCAAGCUUGAACGUUUUCCACCUUUAGGUUUGGCAUCUCUUAAAGAAUUGAAUCUAUGUUGUUGUGAUAGUCUCAAGAGUUUUCCAAAAUUAUUAUGCGAGAUGACAAACAUAGACUGUAUUUGGUUGAAUUAUACUCCCAUAGGAGAAUUGCUAUCUUCAUUUCAAAAUCUGAGUGAACUUGAUGAGUUAUCAGUACGGGAAUGUGGAAUGCUGAAUGAUAAAAUGUAUUCUAUAAUGUUUUCAAAUGUGACAGAGCUUAGUCUCAAAGAUUGCAACCUCUCAGAUGAAUACCUCCAAAUAGUUCUUAAGUGGUGUGUUAAUGUUGAAGAACUAGAGUUAUCAAACAACAAUUUCAAAAUUCUUCCUGAGUGUCUUAGUGAAUGUCACCAUCUUAAGCAUCUUGAUUUGUCUUACUGCACAUCUCUUGAGGAAAUUAGAGGGAUUCCACCGAAUCUAAAAGAGCUUUCUGCAGAAGGAUGUAAAUCAUUGAGUUCAUCAAGUAGAAGAAUGUUAAUGAGUCAGGUUUGUUGUUGUUUUUUAUUGCACUAUAGUAUUUGACAUCUUUUAUUGUAUUUCAUAUAUAUAUAUAUAUUUGAUAAUGUGUAAUAUAUAUUUAUAUUUCAUAUAAACCAACAGCAACUACAUGAGGCUCAAUGGACCUAUUUUGUUUUCCCAAACGGAACAGAGGGGAUACCAGAUUGGUUUGAGCACCAAAGCAAGGGACCCACAAUUUCUUUCUGGUUUCGUAAAGAAAUCCCUUCUAUAACAUGUAUUUUUAUUCUUCCGGAAGGCAAAAAUGGGGUAGCUGACUCAGGAGUCAAUUAUUUUGUGAAUGGAUAUGAAAUUGAGUUAGAUGGUUCUUUUUACCAGUUUAGCUAUGUGUACUUGAAGCAGACAAGUUUGUUUCAUACCCUGAAAUGGAAUGAACUCAGUGGAAGACAAUAUGACUAUGAUAUAAUGGACAAAGUACUUUCGAAAAAUGAAUGGAUCCAUGUGGAGCUUAAGUUGGAUGAUUCGAGUUUGAAUCGACUUAGUGAGGAAGAGAUGAAUAAAAUAUUAAGGAGUGCU
rnacentral:lncRNA from 1 species